rnacentral:lncRNA from 1 species
UCUCUUUCAAGUCUAUCUCUAGCUUAAUCAACAUCAUAAUAACCUACUAGCUUGUACUCUUUUGAUUUUCUAUAACAAAAGUGAUCGUUGUAUUCGCAAGUUCACGAAUCACGUCAGAGUAAUAUAAAAGAAUAUUGAUCCCAUAGAGACCAAAUCAUCAAUCUAUCGAUUACUAUUGUUACGAUGUUUAUCUAAGGCGGUACAAAUGAGAUAUUGAUGUCGCAAAAUAACAGUAAGUAAAGAAAAUGAUAAAUACAAUGCAUAUAAAGAUAGGCUUGAAUGUAUUUCACGUCAGUUAAACGAUGCUUCGAUUGUCUAAAUAGAACUACUUAUGGGGCAAUAUUUUCUACUCUUGAAAAUAAUCCAUUUAACAGGAACUGUCGCUUUCGCGUAUUCAGAACCGAGUUUACCCUUAAAUUAAGGCCUUUUAUUGUCACUUAUAAAAGGUGCGCAGAACGCUAAAUUAACAGGAACUGUCGCUUUCGCGUAUUCAGAACCGAGUUUACCCUUAAAUUAAGGCCUUUUAUUGUCACUUAUAAAAGGUGCGCAGAACGCUAAAGUAGUAAACCUAUUUUUAAGAAAUAAGACUCGAAAGCUUAACUGAAAAGUGAUUUUGAUUCGGAAAGUUUUACGUAAGGAGUUUCCUGAUUUUAAAUCUAUCAACGCGUCCGAAAACAGUUUCAAAAAUGGUUUUUCCGUAAAGUGAUAAAAAUUCUUAGUUAACUAAGCCAGGGUGCUUUUGUACUCCUUGAGUAGUUAAAAUUAACCAAGUUUGUUUUAGAAAACUCGAAUUAAGAAUCAAAACAGCCCGUAAAGCAUUUCUACAGAUGCAAUAUGUGAAACAUCUCUUUAACCGCGAUCCUUACAUUCUAACCUUUGAAAGAUUUAGUCAGACAUGGUAAUACAAACAAACACAACGAUAUUGAUCAUGACGAAAAGUUGUUUAGAAUGUAAGGCGUAAAGAACAAGUAAAGCGUGUGAAACAAUUAAAACGAGCAAUAAAGAUAAUGGCGAGAAAAUUAAAUAAAGUAAAGACAAUGGAAAGAAAUUAAAUAAAGUAAGACAAUGGCAAGGAAUUAAAAAAAGUUAAGCAUAACAAGGAAUUAAAUAAAGUAAAGCAUGGCAAGUAAAAUAAAAAUGCGAUUAAAUUAGAACCUGCUCCAAACGGAGGCUUUAAAUCUGGUAUAAGGAAGUAAAUAAACCUUUGACUUUGAAAAUAAAGACGACAACAAAAUCAAAGUGCUCCAACUCAAUUACACUAAGGUGCGAUAACCCCUCGAUGUGAAGGAUUACCGCUUUUACAGAUGAUAAUAUAGUCUUAGUGUUGUAAACUAAGUUGGAUGAUUUGGAAAUGAACUAGAACGACCUAUUUAUAGAGGAACUCGGCAACAUGCAAAAGACUAGGAUGCCCUUCAACUUCUCUUUAGUGGGAAUGUGAAAUGCAAAGGUGGCGCCCGCCACCCCUCCAUGGCGCCCGCCAUGUGAGUUAAUGGGGAAGUUUAUGGGGUCGUGGCAGUUUCCUCCUGGUUGAGGGCUGAUGUGUCAUGACUUCUCCUAUAGCGGCCGCCAUGCAGAACGCCAUGAGUAUAAUUUUUGCCGAAAACCCUAAUUUUAUGGUCUUUUUGCUUCGUUUCUUCUAAAAAGGUCCUGAAAGAGGUAAAUACCUUAAAACAACACAAAAGAAAGCAUAGCACAAGAAAAAUUAUAAUAAAGACCUAAAAAACAUGUGAAAUCUGAGUCAAAAACAUGGUGUGAUUCAGUGUGAUCAAAUUCUCCCACACUUAAACCUUUGCUUGUCCUCAAGCAAAACUCUUUAUAGCUCAUGCAAGAAAUACAAUAUCAACCAGAGUUAAUUCAAGGGAAAAAGGGCUUAUAAGUUCAUUCAAGGAAUGUAUCGAUAGGUACUAACGAAUCGAACUAAGGAUAUUGUAGUGACACUUCCCGCAAAUGCGGUCAUAGGCUUCGUUCCUAUACAAAUCAAUUUAUAUCACCCCACCAUACCUAAGCCUUCUUUUCAUCUUCUUCAAGUCCUUUUCAUUCAGGUGCAAUCACAUUAAUCCCGUUAUCCGUACAUACUCAUAGUAAGGUGACCGGUUAGUGACUAUGAUCUUAAGCAUGGGGCUCUGGUACAUAAGUUGGUGUAACCCCUUUAUUUAACCCAAUUGUAGUUGUGGGGGAUUGGAUCGUAAUCCACCCUACCAAGUGCAACACCAUAUACCUCUGAACCAACCAACAAUAGGCAUAUUAUUAUAUAUAUUUUUAUUUUUCUUCUGCAUGUUUCGCAAACCUCUCUAUUUUGCUGGGUUAAUUGACCGUGUGAGAGUCACCUAGCCCAAAAUUUUCAUACAACUAGAGGACAAAGCAAAAAAAAUUAUGAUCAUUCACUUAUUUUCAUUGAUCCCCUACGUAGAGCAUGCUUAAGUCGGACCUGACUAUAAGGAUAAACUACUUAAGGACUUAUUGGAACAAAAAUUAGGGCCACAACAUAUGGGGUAUCGGGAUCGACUCUUAUAAUCAUGAAGCCUACGGUGUCAAGACGAUAUCGAUUUUUAGAAAAAGUUUUCCCAAGUCUUUAACAUCCUGUCAUAAACCUGUCUUAUAGUCUGAAUAUUCAAAAUACAUUGUUUUCUUUGCUCACAAAUUUUUUGGUAAGGCUAAAGAAAUGGGAGAAGUACGGAUACACCACACAGAUGACUCGUCAAACACAUGUUAUUUUAUUGAAAGAAAAGCAUUCAAAAUACAUUGUUUUCUUUGCUCACAAAUUUUUUGGUAAGGCUAAAGAAAUGGGAGAAGUACGGAUACACCACACAGAUGACUCGUCAAACACAUGUUAUUUUAUUGAAAGAAAAGCAAACAACAAAAACACACAAAACAUACUGAAAAUAAAGGAAAGCAAUAAAAAUCUCCUCCCACACUUAAACCGAAUAUUGUCCCCAAUGUUUCGAUAUGAGAUAGGGUAGGCGUAACCUGAAAGAGAGAACUAUGGCUGAUCACUGGUACCGUCACCGCCCUGGUCAGGAUGCCUCGGUCGACUCCUCCUCCUACGAGUACUAAGACCUUCCUGCAGCUGCCUAGAGUGACCUAAGAAAGACCCCUGGUUGGCCUCGAUAAGUGCGAAGUGACGCUCAAUAGCCUGUCGCUGGCGAUGCUGCUCAUUAGUGAUCACAAACAAGGACUCGGUGAUAGUCCGAUGUACUUGCUCACUGCGCUGCUGGGAAGCUACCAUAAAGCUCCUAUUAUCAGAAAAUUAUUGGUUUAUGGUAUUUAGAAUGGCGUCACGCCUUUCUUCCCGAGACAGGUGCUCGCGCCACAUCUCCUCAGUGAUGUAAAAACCGGGAGCGGUACCUGCAAAAUGGUCAGAAGAAGAAGGUGCAGUGUGUGCAGGUGAUGCAGUGUGUGUAGGAAUAUCAUGAGCACAUGACUGGUUGCGCUAGUCAUACUCAUCAUCGGUUCCUUGCCCAUCGUCCAUAGGGACAUUAGGUGGAAAAGGACCGGUAAAAGGUGGAGCAUCGAGAUCAUAUGUCCAGUUCCUUGCAUGUCGCACAUCUGUACGCUAGGAGCAAGGUAAAACAACACUCAGUAUAGCUACACCAUGGAUCAUGAGGUUAUAACCGCCCGCUCUCCGCACCUUGCAUAAUUUCAUAUCCUUCAAAAAUUUCAAGUUAAUGGUGCGGUGAGGGAGCAGUUCUAAGGUAGCUAACUCAGCGUUGAGAUUAAGUGCUCUAGCAAUAGAAGUAAUUAAUCCACCAAAAGACAUGGUUCCUCCUUUUUUCAAAAUGGCGGACAUAUGUGCAAGCAUAAAAGGAACAUGAUUGAUCCUUUGAUUAGUAAGACAAUAAUGUAAAAAUAGCAACUCGCAAGCAUUUACUUUAUUAGAAUUUUCUCGACCAAAAAUAGUACAUGACAAAAGAUAUCGAAAAAUACGGAUGGCCGGGUUAUGAAUAGUGGAGGCUAAGAUUCCUUCAAAAGAAGUGAUAGCCACAUUUGAUAAUCUAUUCCAAAAGUUAAAUGCUUCGAAUGCCCAUUCAGCAUCUAAGGGUGUCUCACAAAUGACACCCUCUCCGUACGGCAUUCCUAACAAAACUGCUAAGGCAUCGGUAGUGUACUCAUAUUCAAUAUUUAAACAUUCGAAAACAUACGGUACCAACCGUGCUAGUAGUGCCAGGAUGAACAGUGUAAAUUAGGGAACUCAAAAAUUCCCUAGUCAGCCUAUCGUAGGUGGGUUCCGUAUUUGCAAAAAUAUCAUGUAAUCCUAAGUUAUCUAGCAUAUGAAAAAUACUAAGGCAUGUCCCUAAAGUAUACAAGCAGUCCUCAUCGACAUACCUGGUAGCGAGAAUUUCUCGUGUUUGCAACUUCUGCAAAAUUUUGCUUUGACGCUCUCCGGGGUUUCCUCCGCGAAGGAUGAUGUUGUCGAAGUCCAUUCCGUCCAUUGAUGGUGAGUGAAGAGAAAAAUGGGUUUUUAUGGUGAGAAAGUGAAAAUGGAAUUUUAGUGGAUUUUUGGUGGAGGAAAUUUAUGGGUGACGUUUAGGAAUGAUAAUGGUUUAGAGUUAGAAUGAUAAAGUUGGGAUUUUUCGUGGACUUCAAUGGAGUUGGAAUGAGGAAAGAAUGAGUUUUGAGAGGUUGAAGAAGGUAAAAAUGGUGAAAUUAGGGAUUUUGUCCCGUUAAAUAUUCAGAUCACAUGGCGUCCGCCAUGAGGCUUAUGGCGCCCGCCAUGAUGCUGGAUUUGGUGUUUGGGCCGACCUUAUUUCUUGUUCUUGGGCUCCACUUUUUCCUUAUUUUACAAAGGGGAUGCACAUAGGAUUCCAUAACAUGUUUUUUGGUUAAGCUUGAUAAAUGAAAAAAUUAAAUUAAAUUAAAUAAAAAGGUAAAGUAAAAUAAAAUAAAAGGAAAUAAAAAGGAAAUAAAAACAUAAUAUAUAUAUAUAUAUAUAUAUAUAUAUAUAUAUAUAUAUAUANNNNNNNNNNNNNNNNNNNNNNNNNNNNNNNNNNNNNNNNNNNNNNNNNNNNNNNNNNNNNNNNNNNNNNNNNNNNNNNNNNNNNNNNNNNNNNNNNNNNNNNNNNNNNNNNNNNNNNNNNNNNNNNNNNNNNNNNNNNNNNNNNNNNNNNNNNNNNNNNNNNNNNNNNNNNNNNNNNNNNNNNNNNNNNNNNNNNNNNNNNNNNNNNNNNNNNNNNNNNNNNNNNNNNNNNNNNNNNNNNNNNNNNNNNNNNNNNNNNNNNNNNNNNNNNNNNNNNNNNNNNNNNNNNNNNNNNNNNNNNNNNNNNNNNNNNNNNNNNNNNNNNNNNNNNNNNNNNNNNNNNNNNNNNNNNNNNNNNNNNNNNNNNNNNNNNNNNNNNNNNNNNNNNNNNNNNNNNNNNNNNNNNNNNNNNNNNNNNNNNNNNNNNNNNNNNNNNNNNNNNNNNNNNNNNNNNNNNNNNNNNNNNNNNNNNNNNNNNNNNNNNNNNNNNNNNNNNNNNNNNNNNNNNNNNNNNNNNNNNNNNNNNNNNNNNNNNNNNNNNNNNNNNNNNNNNNNNNNNNNNNNNNNNNNNNNNNNNNNNNNNNNNNNNNNNNNNNNNNNNNNNNNNNNNNNNNNNNNNNNNNNNNNNNNNNNNNNNNNNNNNNNNNNNNNNNNNNNNNNNNNNNNNNNNNNNNNNNNNNNNNNNNNNNNNNNNNNNNNNNNNNNNNNNNNNNNNNNNNNNNNNNNNNNNNNNNNNNNNNNNNNNNNNNNNNNNNNNNNNNNNNNNNNNNNNNNNNNNNNNNNNNNNNNNNNNNNNNNNNNNNNNNNNNNNNNNNNNNNNNNNNNNNNNNNNNNNNNNNNNNNNNNNNNNNNNNNNNNNNNNNNNNNNNNNNNNNNNNNNNNNNNNNNNNNNNNAUAUAUAUAUAUAUAUAUAUAUAUAUAUAUAUGAAUAGUUAGUAAUAAGUCACGGGUCGAGAGAUGCUAGGAAAGGAAAUGUAAGCAUAAAAUCAACAAGUAAAGUAAGCAUAAAUAAUAAGUCUAAUAAUGGGAAAUAAGUAAAGCAAACGACAUCUCUUGGUCGGUGAUAUUAUCAAUGUCCAGGGAAUAAUGGAGUCUCUGAUAACGCGAAAACACAUCAGAUAUUUGCCUUGAUUUACACUCAAAGAUCAUACCAUUUUAAUUAAUAUCCCGAUUAUUCCGCAAGUAUUCGAGUUGUUUUUGCAGGUAUUUAAAUCUCCAAGCAUUAAUGAGCCAAAUGAAGAAAAGGAAGAAAAAGAAGAAGAAACAGAUGAGAAAGCACAGGAAAAAGCAGAAAACCAGAAAUGCAGAAAUUGUUGAUGUGACGACCGUCAUAAGCUUCAUGACGACCGUCACGACCCAGCCUGUGACGACCGUCACAGGCCCAUGACGAGCGUCACGCGGCCAGAAUUUACGCUUUGAAACAGUCCAUCACAGGCACCCAAACGUGCCUAAAAUAUCUCCAACAUCUUGACUCCCCCGGAUUCCUCAUUCAACCAGUCUUCCUUAAAUUUCUCAACCGCCAAGACCUAAAGGAGCAAUAUAUAAAGGACCAAAGUUGGAAAAUUUGGGGACGCCUACAUCUACACUUACGCUCUACAAUUAAUUUUUACAUCUUUCUAGCUUUUUAGUUAUUUUCUUUUUAGAAACUUUGUUUUCGUUGCCUUAGUUCAUUUGCCAUUCUUUUUUUAGAAUUCCCGUUUUCUCCUUUUCCUUUCCGUUUUCCAGUUAGCCAUAUUAGUAGUUUCCUACAUUGGGGAACUACUACACUUUAUUUAAUUUAGUAGGCAAUUGUAUUGAAGAAGCAGAAUCCUACCGACUUGUGGAGGACUGUUCAAGUACUCGAAGAUUCGUCGUACUCUGUUAAUCCAAUUGCCAGGUUUUUAUUAAAUUAUUAUUAUUGCCUUGUUAUUGUUAUAAUUAUGUCUGCCGCACUAUAAUCUGUUUAUGCUCUGUGUUUGCUUUAUUUAACAUGUCCGACUAAAUUACCAGUAUCGGUAUAUAGCAAUUUAAUUUGAUGGGAUUUAAUAAUAAUCGGUGAAAACUCUUUUUCUCAAACAAUCUUUUAGGCCUAGGUUUUUAAUUUAAAUUUAAUUAACUUUAUCACAAAAGCGUGAGAAGCUAUUUAAUACGGUUUUGCCACGAGAGUGGGAAAUUAACUAUGGUGAGAACCAACAAUCGCGAGAGCGUGAGGCUCGAGCAGGAUAGUAAAAAUUAGGCAUUGAGUUUAAAAACAGCGAGAGCACUUUAAAAGCAAUUAGAACUUAUUUAUUUUCAAAAAGUAAUUUUAACUUCAAAUGGGACAGCGAGAGCGUACAUUAUGACUUAAGCUAUAGGCCUGAAUCAACCCCAUCAACGAGAGUGUGCGAUAAAGCUUUUAAAAUAAAUAUUUUCUACUUGAGAGAUUAUUUUCGGCAUUAAACUAUUUCAAACGGUGACUUGAAUCCUUGACAAUAAUGCGUGCAUACUGAUUUCCUUCCGUCAAUUCUUUCUUAAUAACUAAAUGUUCCCUAAGAUUUUCUAAUUUUGGCCCCUCCGAACUUCUACUUAAUCAUUGCCCCUUAGGUCACAUGGAGUUAGUAACAUUAGUUUGACCAUAGGUCCCGUGGGAUCGAUAUAUUUUAAAACUAAAAUGCGACUGGACCCUGUACACUUGGCAGCAAGGUUACCGCGUAGACUAUAUUUUUAAUAUAUAGGUCACGAACGCAUCAAGUUUUGGCGCCGUUGCCUGGGGAAACCUGUUUUAGUCGGAAUAGUGCGAUUCUUUUCGUUGCACGGUAUAUGACUAAGUAAAAAUAAAACUAAUUUCUCUCCUUAUUCGCUGAUUGUAUGCAAGUACUCGCUCACUGAAGGCGUAACUUAGCACCACCAAGUCACAGAAUUAGAGCGUCUCUUCCUACAGUAAGACGCAGAACUACAGCGAAUAGCAACAAAGAAGUACUGAUAGUUUCCCGAAGUCUUUCCUCUCUCCUAAGCAGAAGAAAAACCAACCAAAUGGGGGGGGGGGCCCCCCCCCUUUGAGAAGUGGGGACCCCAAUAAAUAACCGUCCCCUAAACUCUACGCUACCCUUCCAGACAAGAACCGUCGACACAACAUUGCUUCCCCGCUAUCAUCGGAAACGAUGUCGAGCUGAAACCCUCGAUCUUAACCCUUAGCCGUCCAACAACAUCAAUUUGCGGAAAUAUCCUACGGAUGAUUCCUAAUGAACCCACCUGCCAAAGUUUGUGCAGUAUGCAGAUACUGUAAAGGCAAUUGGUGGUAUCUCAAGAUGCGAUAAGACUGCGCCUUUUUCCUUUCUCACUAAAGACAAAAGCUUAAGGCUUGGUUGCCAUCCUUGCCAUCCAACUCAGUUACAACAUGGGAAAGAACUGAUGAACGUUUCUUUCCCGAUAUUUUCCGCCGAGCAAAACUUCUAUGCUCUGAGAGCUCAAUCAGAUUUCGACAACUAAAAGAUGUGGAUCUUCCUAUACGGGCGAGAGCGUGGAGAGAUAAGNCACUUGCAGUCAAGUACCCGAUAGACUAUAUUUUAUAUAUAGUCACGACAAGCAUCAAGUUUUUGGCGCCGUUGCCGGGGACCUGUUUUAGUCGAAUAGUGCGAUUCUUUCGUUGCACGGUAUAGACUAAGGUAAAAAUAAAAACUAAUUUACUCUCCCUUAUUUCCCUGAUUGUAUGCCAAGUACUCGCUCACAAGGCGAUAACUUAGCACCACCAGUCACAGAAUUAGAGCGUUUCUUAUACGUAAGACGCAGAAUACACGAAUAUCAACAAAAGUACGAUAUUCCCGAUAUCUUCUCUCCUCCUAAAGCAGAAGAAAAACCAACCAUGGCUGAAGAAGGACCAUAUAACCGUCCUCUUAAACUCUACGCUACCCCUUCCCAACAAGAACCUCACAACAACAUUGCUUCCCCCGCUAUCAAUCGAAACGAUUUCGAGCUGAAACCCUCACUAUUACCAGCCGUCCAACAACAUCAAUUUGCGGAAAUCCUACGGAUGAUCCUAAUGAACACCUGACCAAGUUUGUGCAGUAUGCAGAUACUGUAAAGGCAAAUGGUGUAUCUCAAGAUGCGAUAAGACUGCGCCUUUUUCCUUUCUCACUAAGAGACAAAGCUUAGGCUUGGUUGCAAUCCUUGCCAUCCAACUCAGUUACAACAUGGGAAGAACUGAUGAACGUUUUCUUAUCCCGAUAUUUUCCGCCGAGCAAAACUUCUAUGCUGAGAGCUCAAAUCAAUGGAUUUCGACAAAAAGAUGUGGAAUCUCUCUACGAAGCGUGGGAGAGAUACAAGGACAUGAUGAGGAUAUGUCCACAUCACGGUCUCGAAGACUGGGUGAUCAUUCACACAUUUUACAAUGGGCUUCUGUAUAACAAAGGACAUGAUGAGGAUAUGUCCACAUCACGGUCUCGAAGACUGGGUGAUCAUUCACACAUUUUACAAUGGGCUUCUGUAUAACACAAGACUGACAGUAGACGCUGCCGCGGGCGGUGCACUUAUGGAUAAGCCAUACAACGAAGCCUAUCAACUCAUUGCAAACAUGGCCCAGAACCAUUGCCGAUGGGGAGGUGAAAGAACUCCAGUGGAAAAGUCCCAGACAAAGGGUGAAAUGUACGAAAUCAGUAGCAUUGACCAUGUUCAUGCAAAGGUAGAUGCCCUUGUUCAAAAAUUAGACAACUUGACCAUACCACCCGCAGCCACCGUGGCUGCUGUAACUCCAACCUAUGAGUUAUGUGGAAACCCUGGACACACUGCACAAGAAUGUCAAAUAUUAGCAGGAGUCCCAAUCGAUCAAGUGAAUUACACACAAGGAAAUCCCUAUUUGAAUACCUACAUCCCAGGUUGGAAAAACCGUCCUAAUUUCUCGUAUAAGAAUAACAACGCCCUAUAUGCACCUGACCAAGCCCCAACUUUUCCGCCUGGAUAUCAAAAGCCAACUAAUAAUGCUCCUAACAUACCUAGGAAGUCAAAUCUCGAAUUGAUGAUGGAAAGCUUCAUAGCUACCCAAGCUCAGACAAACAAAGACUUCUUGAACCAAAACAUACAUACUAGCGAGCAACUUAAACAACUAGCGAGCAAAGUAGACGCCUUACCACCCACAAUAAAUGCUUGAAACACAAAUUUCACAAGUGCUCAACAUCAAGCUGCUACAUCCGCUCCACUGGAACAUUUCCUGGACAUACGCACUAAUCCAAAAGAAAGCAAUGCCGUUUUACUGCAGGAGAGUGGAAAGAAAUCAGACGGACGCGUAAAUGCAAGACUCCAAAACCCUCCAGUACAGAAACCAGAUAAAACCUCAACUGAGCAGGUGAAUGAACCAAAGGAAACAGAAGAUAAUACCCAAGAGGCCGAAGAGAAAGAGAAACCUUAUGUGCCUCCACCUCCUUAUAAACCACCCAUUCCGUAUCCCCAAAGACUCAAAAGUUCUAAAACUGCGAGUCAAUUUAGGAAAUUUGUUGAACUUUUGAAGCAACUAAACAUUACGAUACCCUUUAAAGAAGCCAUCACACAAAUUCCCUCCUAUGCCAAAUUUCUUAAGGAAAUCCUAUCCAAUAAGAAAAAGAUUAAGGAUGACGAAACAGUUACACUUACUGCCGAAUGUAGCGCAAUAAUCCAAAAUAACAUGCCUCCCAAACUAAAAGACCCAGGUAGUUUCUCCAUACCCUGUGUCAUUGGAAAAUUUGUCAUAGACAAAGCUCAAUGCGAUCUAGGAGCCAGCAUUAGUGUAAUGCCCUUAACCAUUUGUAAAAGGCUCAGUAUGGGAGAAUUAAGACCAACCAAGAUGUCUGUUCAAUUAGCUGACAGCUCAAUCAAAUAUCCUGUCGGUAUACUAGAGAAUGUCCCUGUACGUGUAGGACAAUUUUACAUCCCUACAGACUUCAUAAUUAUGGACAUCAAAGAAGAUGCCAAUACACCUAUUAUACUAGGAAGGCCAUUCUUGGCUACCGCCGGAGCCAUAAUAGACGUAAAGAGAGGUAAGCUGACAUUCGAAGUUAGAGAGGAAAAGGUUGAAUUCAUCUUGACCCAAUUCUUCCAAGCACCAACUAUAGACGACACCUGUUAUCUACUUGAUGUCAUAGACGAGUGCGUGAGAGAGAUGGAGAUGCAAGAAACCACAUACUCUGAUAUAAUGAAAAUCCAAAUCCCUCCAAUCUUUGAAGACGAUAACUGGCAUGAACCAUACCAAAACGAAAGUCUAAGCGAAUGCUUAGCACAUACACCCAACCACAUGCCAUGCCCAAAGAAACCCGACUUGGAAUUAAAAGCACUACCAAAGAACCUAAGAUACGAAUUCCUAGACACUGAACUGAAAAGACCAGUAGUAGUCAACGCUGACUUGGGACAGAUGGAAACUGAGAAAUUACUAGAUGUCCUAAGAAAAUAUCCAACUGCGUUAGGAUAUAACAUCGCCGAUCUAAAAGGAAUAAGUCCUUCUAUCUGUAUGCAUCGUAUCAUGCUGGAGGAAGAUUGUAAAACCACUAGAGAACACCAGAGAAGGAUCAACCUAAUCCUAAGUACGGUAGUCAAGGAUGAAGUAAAGAAGCUACUAGAUGCUGGAAUCAUAUACCCGAUCUCCGAUAGUCAAUGGGUUAGCCCCUUUCAUGUAGUACCCAAGAAAGGGGGUGUUACAGUUGUUAAGAACGAGAAGGGCGAAUCUAUAGCACAAAGAGUUGUGACCGGAAGUAGAAUGUGCAUCGACUAUAGAAAACUAAACAAAGCCACUCAGAAAGAUCAUUUCCCUCUACCCUUCAUUGACCAAAUGCUUGAACGAUUGGCUAAGCAUUCUCACUUCUGCGCUCUAGACGGUUAUUUAGGAUUCUUUCAAAUCCCAAACCAUCCUGACGACCAAGAAAAGACUACCUUCACAUGCCCUUAUGGUACAUUCCCUUACCAAAGAAUUCCAUUUGGACUAUGCAACGCUCCUGCAACAUUUCAAAGAUGCAUGAUGGCAAUCUUCGCCGAUUUUAUAGACGACAUCAUGGAAGUCUUUAUGGACGAUUUUUCUGUUUGUGGGCAGAGUUUUGAAGGAUGUCUAUCAAACCUUGAAAUGGAUCUUCGCCGAUUUUAUAGACGACAUCAUGGAAGUCUUUAUGGACGAUUUUUCUGUUUGUGGGCAGAGUUUUGAAGGAUGUCUAUCAAACCUUGAAAUGGUACUCGAAAGAUGCGUAAAGGUAAACCUAGUUUUAAGCUGGGAGAAAUGUCUUUUCAUGGUUCAACAAGGAAUCAUAUUAGGUCACGUAGUAUCUGACAGAGGAAUUGAAGUAGACAAAGCUAAAAUCGAAAUCAUAGAGAACCUUCAACCUCCGAAAACCGUACGAGAAAUACGAAGCUUUUUAGGACACGCCGGUUUCUACCGACGUUUCAUUAAAGAUUUCUCGAAAAUUACCAAGCCACUUACAGGUUUAUUAAUGAAAGACGCUGAUUUCAUCUUUGAUGAAAAAUGCUUAACAUUGUUCAACCAACUAAAAACAUCUUUAAUCACCACACCCAUAAUCCAACCACCUGACUGGAGAUUACCUUUUGAAAUCAUGUGCGAUGCGAGUGAUUACCCAGUAGGCGCAGUACUAGGACAAAGAAAGGAUAAGAAGCUUCAUGCUAUUUACUAUGUAAGUAGAACACCAGAUCCAACCCAAAUGAACUACGCCACCACUGAAAAAGAACUUCUAGCCGUCGUGUUCGCAUUGGAAAGAUUCCGUUCCGACCUAGUAGGGGCGAAAAUUAUCAUCUAUACCGACCACGCCGCUAUUAGAUAUCUACUAAGUAAGAAGGAUGCCAAACCAAGACUUUUAAGAUGGAUCCUUCUCUUACAAGAAUUUGACUUAGAGAUAAAAGAUAAGAAAGGUACUGAAAAUGUAGUAGCAGACCACUUAUCACAAAUCGAAGGGAAUAAACCUGAACAAAUUCCAAUUAACGAUGAUUUCCCUUACGAACAACUCAUUGCCCAAAUGGAAAGGGAUAUGUCUGAACUAACAUUAAACGAUAUAGAAAUAGAAGAAUUCGUGAAAGAAAUACAUGCGAAUGCAACUCUGCCAUGGUAUGCUGAUUUUGUCAACUACCUAGUCGUCAGAGUACUUCCACCGGACCUAUCUUACCAACAAAAGAAGAAAUUCUUUCACGAUCUAAAACAGUACUACUGGGAUGAACCUUUGCUUUUUAAAAGAGGUACCGACGGUAUUUUCUGUCGAUGUGUUCCUGAGGAUGAAAUAGAUGGUAUAAUCUCUCAUUGCCAUUCCGCUCCCUAUGGAGGGCAUGCAAGUACCUCAAAGACCUGCACUAAGAUCCUGCAAUCAGGCCUCUUUUGGCCUACUCUAUGGAAAGACGUCCAUAACGCGGUUAUAAAAUGUGACCGGUGCCAUCCUGCAAUCAGGCCUCUUUUGGCCUACUCUAUGGAAAGACGUCCAUAACGCGGUUAUAAAAUGUGACCGGUGCCAACGCACUGGCAACAUCUCAAGACGCGAUGAAAUGCCACAAACGGGAAUCUUGGAAGUUGAAGUCUUCGAUGUAUGGGGGAUUGACCUCAUGGGACCAUUCCCACCUUCUUUUGGUAAAAAGUACAUAUUUGUUGCUGUCGACAAUGUUUCAAAAUGGAUUGAGGUUGUAGCUUCUCCAACAAAUGACACACGAGUAGUGAUCAAGUUAUUCAAGAACAUUAUCUUUCCUAGAUUCAGUGUACCAAAACUAGUAGUUAGUGACGGUGGCUCCCACUUCAUAUCGAAUAUAUUUGGAAAACUUCUUCUGAAGUAUGGAGUCUGACACCAUGUAGCAUCACCGUAUCAUCCACAAACUAGCGGGCAAGUCGAAGUCUCGAAUCGAGAAAUUAAAUAAAUUCUAGAGAAGACCGUAGGAAUAUCCAGAAAAGAUUGGUCAUCUAAACUAAACAAAGCUCUGUGGGCCUAUAGGACGGCUUACAAAACCUCAAUAGGAACCACACCCUUUAAACUAGUCUAUGGUAAAUCAUGUCAUCUCCCUGUGGAAUUAGAACACAAAGCCUAUUGGGCAAUUAAAACCCUAAAUAUAAACUAUACUUCCGCGGGCGAGAAACGUAUUCUGGACAUUAACGAAUUAGAAGAGCUGAGACUGGACGCCUACGAGAAUGCCAGGAUCUACAAAGAGCAAACCAAAAGAUGGCAUGACAAACGCAUUUCUAGGAAGGAGUUUAAUGUCGGCGACGUAGUGCUACUAUUCAAUUCAAGACUUAAACUUUUUCCAGGAAAACUCAAAUCUAGGUGGUCCGACCCUUUCGAGAUCACCAAAGUCCUCAAAAGUGGUGCGAUAGAAAUAAAAGGUAGGAAUAGUGACCCUUUUAUAGUAAACAGGCAGCGAUUAAAGCACUAUCAUAAUAUUGAAAAUAGAGACUAUUCGAACAAUCUCAGACUCAUAGAGCUGCCCGCUCAACCCCAAACCUAGUACACCGCGACGCCACUGUCAAAGUUACGAUGUUAAACAAAGUGCUUAGUGGGAGACAACCCACCCUUUUUUUGUUAUCCUUGUUACGAACUAUUUUCCUUCUUUUCUUUUCUUCUUUAUUUUUGCUCCCCUCUUCUUGAAUCUUUGCAGUCAUUCUUUUUGCUUCUAGUUACUAACUUAGACAUAUUGGGUACUGAUAAACAGGAAAAUUACUAACCAGUUAGUUAAUUACUUUCAUCAUGCAACAAAUAGAGACAGCUUUCAGAGGCAGAGUUCAAAGAAGGCGGUAUGAUUAUCUAGCUCGGAAGGAUAUGGCAUUGACCAUAUAUUAUGAUGGACCUACCAUGGAUAAGUUAGGUAUCCAAGAUAACAUCUUAUUUAUGUUUAACCACCUUGGGUGGGAGAAAACAGCCAUUAAGAGACGGUUUGUCACGUACCGUGAACUAACCUUAGAAUUCCUUAACUCCCUAGUAUACGACCCCGAGCAUGGUUACGGACAUAACAAAGGGUUGAUAUCCUUUAGGCUGUUUAGCAUGGACUUCACCUAUAGCCGUCGAGACCUUGCUGACCUCCUAGGAUUUCCUAGUGGCCCUUUCGUCUUUACUACCCGCCAGGAGGAACUAAUCGAUGACAUCGACCUAGAUGACUUUUGGGGUAGCUUAACUGGAGACUCAAACCCUAACCCGAAUGAGAUGCACUCACAAAUGAUCCAUAACCCUGCUAUCCAAUACUUUCAUAAAAUACUGGCCCCCACCCUAUUUGGUAAGGAAGAAAAUAACACCAUCGUGUCCCGCAAUGAACUUUUCAUCUUGCUAUGUGUCGAUCAAGGUCGACAUGUCAAUAUCGUGACAUUCAUGAUGGAGAGAUUUGUUCACCUUGCUAAGAACAAUCGUACCCCAAUAGUAAUAGGUGGCCUAGUAACCAUGAUAGCAGAUGCCAUCGGACUUAGACGCCCACUUUAUGAGCAUGUACCAUUUGGAAACAUCUGACCCAUGGAUAUCGAAUUUUGCUUUGAUCGCAGAAUCAUAGGAAACCUUGGGACAAAUACUUUUGAUUAUUUAAUCAAUAACGAAGUGGUCUGACUACUUACCUUGCCUAACCAUGAGAGAACGUGUGUUCAAAACCACAAUAACUGGCUUUAUGACUUAGAUGAACACCCUAUUGAUCCGCCUUCACCUCCCGAGACACCGCCUAAAUAUGAGUAUAUCAAUGACCCUAUCCAUAUGGAAGAAUCUGACCCUGAAACACCUCCCAACUACUAUAACAUUGAUGAACCGGUUCCUCCAUCAUAUGCUGAUAAUCUUUCCAUGCUUCUUACCCGUCUGAAUGAUUUCCAAGCUGACAUCACAACUGUGAAAGAUGAGAUAAAGAUCAUACGCUUUGAUGUCUUAGGCCUGAUGGAUAUAGUCGUCGAGCAGUUUCAUCACCUGAACGAAGCUGUAGAUGCCUUGGGACAAAACCGUGGCUAAUACUACUGACCACUGAUUUCUCCUACUCGCACUAAGCAAUGAGGACACUGCUUUGUUUUGUGUGGGGAGGGAGCACAUUUAUUUUAUUACUUUUGUUUAAUUACUUUAUUACUUUUGUUUGCUGUGUUAUCGUUACUAUUUUUUUCCUAUGUUACAUUUAAUUUCAAUUUAUUAGUUCAAUUGCUAUUCAUUUAUUUAUGCUUACUUAUUUAUUUAUUUAUUUUUUCAUUCAUGCUUUUAAAUUCAAUUGCUCAGUCAUCAUACUAUAUUGUUAUCAUAUGCUACUGUAAUUAAAAACAAAUGUUGCAACCUUUGAUGAGAAAAUUGAAAAUCAGCGUGUGACGACCGUCACAUAUAGUGUGACGCCCAUCUCACAAAUGUGACGACCGUCACGGAUCCACCACGAUCGUCACACAACAUGCAAAUGACCGUUACGAGCAUCUGACCAUUGCAGACGACCGUUACGCACCCGUUGCGCGUGACGACUGUCACACUCCUGUGACGACCGUCACGAACUCCAGAGAGCUCGCCUAUAAAUGCAGGCGCUCUUCCUCUCUUAUUCCUCAUCAAUCACCACUCUCAUACCAUUCUGCACUCCAUUAUCCAAUUCUUUACAUUUUUUCAAGCGUGUAACUCACAAUAUUCCAUCUCACCCACCAACACCAAAAGUUUCAUACAUCUUAUCAAUGGCCCGUCAAGAAAGAGCUGCUCCCGACCUUUCAACCGUCGUAUUCCGAAAUGGAGAAGCCGGUGAACACCAAAGAGACAACUACCUCAAGUUCUACCAACGCUCAGUUCAAGCUACGAGGUAUGUUGAUAAUGAAUACCUGACGGAGCUAGGACUUUUGGAGGGCGUGGAUUGGAUGCUAAGAAACUCCAGCUUGACGCAACUGUGUACCACACCGCAACUAACCUACGAAGCACUGACCCUUGAAUUUCUGAGUUCCUACACCUAUAUCACACCCCUAGGCGCAACUCAAUUUCUCACCGGAGUCUCCACAUUUAUAACGUUCGGCACCGAGUAUUCCCUAAAUCAAACCCAAAUAGCGAGAAUGCUUGGUUUCCGACAUGGAGAAGGAAUUCACUACUGUAUCCCUGACGGAUGGUCAGAGAUAGCAUUUCAAGUUUGGCACAACCUCACCAACAUGAACGCCACGAGUAGGGAUACGCUUAACGCAACAUAUAUUCACAACCCAGCCAUUAGAUACUUCCAUCGAGUCCUGGGGCAGGCAAUUUUUGGAAGAGUCAGCAAUCAUAAGGUAAACUCCAAGGAACUUUUCCUUCUUCACUGUGUAUUUUCCCCAAUUGCGUUCAAUGUCACUCCUUUCCUACUAGCCAACAUCCAGGAUGCGUGCAUGAGAGGCAGCCAGGCGUUUUAUUUUGGGGGAAUCAUCACCUCCAUAGCACUAGGCUUGAAUUUGGGAGAUAGGCUAGCCAACUUACCAGCCUUGCAGGCAAAAUUCCUCGACAUCGACUACUGUCGUGCUUCACACCUGAUCAAAGCAAGAGACAACGAGAAGUACCAUCCUGUUGUCAGAAACAAGGUAUUUCGAAGCAUCAUCAUACCAAACAGAAACCGAACAGAUUCGAAAGAUAUGGCAAAUUGGAUUUUUGAUCUGGAUGCCCCCGAGGCAAAUGAAGGAAAUCUUGGUAAUGGAGCAGAUGAAGUCGAGGAGGAGCUUGACCGAGGCAUGCCUCAACCACCUCAAGAGCACGCUGCAGAGACUUCUUCCCGAGGACAACAGAGAAGCGAACGAAGACCCGCCUCCAUGGAAAACAUCUACGCCGAGAUGCUGCGACACAACCAAAGAAUGGAAGACCGCCAGACGGAAAUGAUGCAAGCGAUCCAGCAAAUGCAGCGGGAUCAACACAAUUAUGCAAACUGGCAUGAUCAGGGGAUGGCGGAGCUUUCGGACCAGAUGAGUGCCCUGACAUAUCGCGUAGAUGCCAUCCAGGAGUACACUCGGCAUGUGGGAUUAGAUCCUACCCAGCGAGAAAGAGGUGAGCGCGCAAGAGCAAGAGCCAGAGCACGCAGAAGCUAACAGCGUAACGACGAGUAGUGAUUUUUGUUUCUUUCUUUUUAUUCUGUAUAUUGUCGCAUUGAGGACAAUGCAUUGAUUAAAUGUGGGAGGAAAUCCUUAUCACUCCUCUACUUGUUUCUAUUGUUAGUAUUUUCAAUUUUUUUUUUGUCCUUAUCAAUCAUUUAUACAUAUUUUGGCAUAACAAAAUUUUUCCUUAAGACUAAAUGCAUACCCUAUGAAUAUAUAGGUUGUCUUGGGGAGGUUUUGUUAGGAAAAAUGAGAAAGAUCUAACAAGAUUGAUACCGUCCCGACACCCUAGAUCCCUCACUUCUACGAUAUCAGUUUGAAUAACCAUUAUACCGACACCUUAAGUCUCCAUUCUAGAUUAACCCCUAGUAGUUUAUACUAGCAGUCAGCACCGUCUUAAGCACAAACCACUUGGAGAGCCGAUGAAUAUAAGUGUUUGAUGCCUACAAAUUAAGAAAUUCCUUCAUACUGUUGCUAUCAAGAAAUUGAUAAACGAACCAUACAAAAAGUUGCAAAGAUACACAAAAAUAAGGAACAGAAACCCCAGUUGGUUGGUCCAGAUGUACCUGGUACUUGACUCGGUAGGGCGAACUACGGCUCGAUCCCCCACAACCUUCAAGAAAAGGGGAUAUAAAAAGGGGUACCACACUAGUGUACCAGACCCCCGUGUUGAGAAAAGGAUCAAAGUCACUAACCGGCUACUUCACUAAGUGCGUGCGGAGGCAAAGCGCUUAAUGUGAUUGCGCCAGAAUGAAACCGGGUGAAAUAGGAACGAGAGACACUAGGUUGAGCUAUAAUGGCAUGAUUCAAACUGGCUUGUGCAUAGGAGAUAUCUACGCUGAUGCUUAAUGCUCGUGUCGUCACUGUAGCUUUAGUGUUUUACUCGAAUAUCGGCCAUCUUAACAAUCCACCUGACAACCACGUACGAAUGGGUAAUGUAUUCGCGUUUAACUUUGUUUUCAAAUUGUAUUUGAUUGUAUUUGCUUGAGGACAAGCAAAGAUUCAAGUUUAGGGGAGUUUGAUAACGCGAAAACACAUCAGAUAUUUGCCUUGAUUUACACUCAAAGAUCAUACCAUUUUAAUUAAUAUCCCGAUUAUUCCACAAGUAUUCGAGUUGUUUUUGCAGGUAUUUAAAUCUCCAAGCAUUAAUGAGCAAAAUGAAGAAAAGGAAGAAAAAGAAGAAGAAACAAAUGAGAAAGCACAAGAAAAAGCAGAAAACCAGAAAUGCAGAAAUUGUUGAUGUGACGACCGUCACAAGCUUCAUGACGACCGUCACGACCCAACCUGUGACGACCGUCACAGGCCCAUGACGAUCGUCACAGGCCCAUGACGAGCGUCACGCGGCCAGAAUUUACGCUUUGAAACAGUCAAUCACAGGCACCCAAACGUGCCUAAAAUAUCUCCAGCAGCAUGACUCCCCCGGAUUCCUCAUUCAACCAGUCUUCCUUAAAUUUCUCAACCGCCAAGACCAAAAGGAGCAAUAUAUAAAGGACCAAAGUUGGAAAAAUUGGGGACGCCUACAUCUACACUUACGCUCUGCAAUUAAUUUUUACAGCUUUCUAGCUUUUUAGUUAUUUUCUUUUUAGCAACUUUGUUUCCAUUGCCUUAGUUCAUUUGCCAUUCUUUUUUUAGAAUUCCCAUUUUCUCCUUUUCCUUUCCGUUUUCCAGUUAGCCAUAGUAGUAGUUUCCUACACUGGGGAAUUACUACACUUUAUUUAAUUUAGUAAGGAAUUGUAUUGAAGAAGCAGAAUCCUACCGACUUAUGGAGGACUGUUCAAGUACUCGAAGAUUCGUCGUAUUCUGUUAAUCCAAUUGCCAGGUUUUUAUUAAAUUAUUAUUAUUGCCUUGUUAUUGUUAUAAUUAUAUCUUCUGCACUGUUAAUCUGUUUAUGCUCUGUGUUUGCUUUAUUUAACAUGUCCUGCUAAAUUAUCGGUAUCGGUAUGUAGCAAUUUAAUUUGAUGGGAUUUAAUAAUCGGUGAAAACUCUUUUUCUCAAACAAUAUUUCAGGCCAAGGUUUUUAAUUUAAGUUUAAUUAACUUUAUCACAAAAGCGUGAGAAGCUAUUUAAUACGGUUUUUCCACGAGAGUGGGAAAUUAACUAAGGUGAGAACCAACAAUCGCGAGAGCGUGAGGCUCGAGCUGGAUAGUAAAAAUUAGGCAUUGAGUUUAAAAACAGCGAGAGCACUUUAAAAGCAAGUAGAACUUAUUUAUUUUCAAAAAGUAAUUUUAACUUCAAAUGGGACAGCGAGAGCGUACAUUCUGACUUAAAGCUAUAGGCUGAAUCAACAAUCACGAGAGUGUGAGAUAAAGCUUUUUAAAUAAAUAUUUUCUACUGAGAGAUAUUUGGCAUUUAAACUAUUCACCGGUGACUUAUCGAAUCCCUGACAAUUAAUGCGUUGCAUACUGAUUCCUUCCAUCAAUUCUUUCUUAAAACUAAAUUUCCCUUAGAUUUACUAUUUUGCCCCCGAACUUCUACUAAUCAUUCCAAUAGCUAAACAUAGUGGCGUUAGUAACACUAGUUUGACCAUAGGUCCCUGUGGGAUCAAUAUCUUUUAAAACUAAAGCGACUGGACUGUGCACUUGCAAUCAAGUACCCGAUAGACUCUAUUUUAUAUAUAGUCACGACAAGCAUCAGUCUCCUCAACUUCGGAUCCUCUGAGCUCUGCAAUCUGGUGUCUAAGGUCAGCAAUCUCAUUGUUCAAUAUAUCGGCUUCAGUGGCAUGUGUGGCAUCUGACACUUCGACCUGCAAAGCAACGUCAGCGAGCUCCUGGCGGAGCUGGGCUAUCUCCAUAUGAAGCUUAACAAGCUCAGAAUGCAUACUUGGACUAUGAAGAUUUGGAUUAUUGGUGAGGACUUUGAUUCUGGUAGGUGCGAUUCUCUGCUCAUCUACUGUCUCGCCUUGGCCUUCUAUGGCAUAGGCCCAGUUGGCCUGAUCAUAAACACAAGUUACAUGAGGGUCUGGUAAAGUAAAGUAGUGGAUAGUCUCACCCUCGAUCAAGAGCCUAUAUUGAUCUGGGUGGAAAGAAGAUCUCCUCAUGAGGCCAUGGUCGAGACAGAAGUCAAUAUCCAUCAAAGUAUAGCAGCAGUAAGAUGUUAGGUGAAAUAGUCUUCUAUCAAGUCCUAGGGAUGAGGCUAUAUGGGUUACCGUGCCUCCAACAUGUAUAAGACUCACAGCAGAACGAGCAUUAAGAUAGAGACUCUCGAUCAGAAAAGCUCCGCAAGCUACCGGGCGUGACUGAGUGGUACAGUACAUGAAGAAAAUCUCUCCAGCACUUACGCAUGUAUCAGUGUCACUCUUCCCCAGGAAGGUGUGGGUAAUAAUCAUCUGAAAAUAUCUAAAAGCAGGAUUAUAGAUCUUGUUAGAGAUUUGGGUGGAAGGGUCAGGGCUACCUCCACAUGUAAUGUCACUCCAGAACUUCUCAACGUCUCUAUUCAGGAAAUAGCUCAUGAGGUGCUCAGACGAGGCAUCAUAAGUAGUCUGAAAUCCAAGUAAGUCACCGAAACGCUUGUGGUUGAAGGUGUACUCUGCCCCAAACAUCUUGAAAUUAAUUUAGCCACCAUCAUUAGCGUGACCAACAUAGGGCUCGUAGUUCAGCGAGCUCAAGAACUCCAAAGUGAGGUUCCUGUAAGUCACAUGCAUCGCUUCAGUAUACUCAUCCCAUUGCAAUUGAUUGCAUAAAUGCCUGACACUAGGCUCAAUGCCUAAUGCCUCCAUGCAACUUGAAUCAGGAUAUCUGGUAGGCAGCAUUGGACGUUGGGAAAGCAUGGCGUAGCGUUGCUCCUGUACCGGGUCACGAAAAAUCACUGGCAUAGUGUCGAAAUUCUCCAUCCUGAAAAGUUAGGUUAAAAACAGAGGACACCUGAAAUCACAAACAUUGCAACUGUUAGUAUAAAAUAUAUAUAUAUGAAAAUAUAAAUUGAAAUAGUAAAAGUAAAGUAAAGGAAAAAGAAAUCAUGGGUUGCCUCCCAUGCAGCGCUUGUUUAACGUCGUUAGCUUGACGACUUUAUCUUUAUAUAUAGGAAGUAGGAACCGGAGGGUCGAUCAGAGUAUGGCUAGGGAAUUCUGUGGGGAUGUCACCUCCUUGAUAUUGCUUCAGUCUUUGUCCAUUUACCACCAACGAAUUAUAGGAAUUGUUCCAGAUUUCAACUGCUCCAAAUUUGAGGAUUUUGGAAACCUUAAAGGGGCCUGUCCAUCUCGAACGCAGCUUACCUGGAAAAAGUCAUAAUCUGGAAUUGAAAAGGAGAACAAAGUCACCUAUGUUAAAGUCCUUUUUCACAAUCAUUUUGUCAUGCCAAGAUUUGGUUAUUUCUUUGUAUAUAAUGGCAUUCUCGUAAGAGUUUUGGCGGAGUUCCUCCAAUUUGUGGAUAUCGAGGAUUCGCUUCUCGCCAGAUGCUAGGUAAUCUAUAUUUAGGGUCUUGAUGGCCCAAUAUGCUUUGUGCUUAAGUUCAAAAGGUAAGUGGCAUGAUUUUCCAUAGAUUAACUGGUAUGGUGUAGUUCCAAUAGGGGUUUUGUAAGCAGUUUUGUAAGCCCACAAUGCUUCUGUUAGCUUUUCAGACCAAUGUUUUCUGGAUAUUGAAACAAUUUUUUCCAAGAUUUGCUUAAUCUCUCUGUUUGAUACUUCCACUUGACCAUUAGUCUGGGGAUGAUAUGGUGUUGCUACUAUGUGUUUUACUCCAUACUUUCUUAAGAGUUUAUCGAAUAUCCUGGAUAUAAAAUGUGAUCCACCAUCACUUAUGACAAGUCGUGGUACUCCAAAUCUGGGGGAAAUAUUGUUUUUAAACGUCUUGAUGACUACUCUUGUGUCGUUAGUGGGUGAGGCUAUAGCUUCUACCCAUUUGGACACAUAGUCGACGGCUACCAAAAUAUACUUGUUUCCCAUUGAAGAUGGAAAAUGCCCCAUGAAAUCAAUAUCCCAAACAUUAAAUAAUUCCACUUCUUGGAUGUUCUUCAAAGGAAUUUCGUCGCGUCUUGAGAUGUUUCCAGCGUGCUGGCACCGGUCACAUUGGGAAAUAUAAGUAUGUACAUCACGCCAUAGUGUUGGCCAAUAAAGACCAGCUUGAAGGAUCUUAGUGUAUGUCUUGGAUGUGCUUGAAUGUCCACCAUAGGGUGAAGAGUGACAAUGCUCUAUGAUAUUUCUAACUUCUUCUUCCGGGACGUAACGUCGAAGAUGUUAUUUGUUCCUCUUUUAAAAAGGAGUGGUUCGUCCCAAAAGAAAUGUCUUACAUCUUUAAAGAACUUCUUCUUUUGUUGAUAAUUGAGGUCAGGCGGUCUGAUAUCAGUGGCUAGAUAAUUCACAAAAUCAGCGUACCAUGGUACUCUGCUAAUCUCUGAAAUUGUUCCAAGGUUGUCUCUAUCAAGUUCAAGGGGAACGGUAUCUAACUUAGCUAUCAAUCUGUCAUAGGUGAAAUCAUCAUUUAUAGGUAAAUGGUUUGGCUUCAAAUGCUCUAGUCUGGAAAGAUGGUCAGCAACUACGUUUUCUGUUCCUUUUUUGUCUCGGAUGUCGAAGUCGAACUCUUGUAGAAAAAGGAUCCAUCUGAGUAACCUAGGUUUCACAUCCUUUUUACUUAGAAGGUAACGGAUAGCUGCAUGGUCUGUAUAGACUAUAAUCUUAGAUCCGACAAGAUAAGACCUAAAUUUAUCAAUUGCAAAAACUACAGCUAGGAGUUCCUUCUUUGUUGUCGUAUAAUUGAAGCAUGGUCUGUAUAGACUAUAAUCUUAGAUCCGACAAGAUAAGACCUAAAUUUAUCAAUUGCAAAAACUACAGCUAGGAGUUCCUUCUUUGUUGUCGUAUAAUUGAGUUGAGCGACAUCUAGGGUUCAACUAGCGUAAUAUAUCACAUAUAAUUUCUUAUUUUUUCUUUGUCCUAAAACAGCUCCUACAGCGAAAUCGCUAGCAUCACACAUUAUUUCAAAAGGUUGAGUCCAAUCUGGAGUUUGUAAAAUGGGUGUUGAAAUUAGCGCUUGUUUUAAAUGAAUAAAGGCUUCGAUACAUUUUUCAUGGAAAAUGAAUUCAACGUCUUUCAUCAGAAGGCCGGUCAGGGGUUUUGUUAUUUUAGAGAAGUCUUUCAUAAAGCGUCGGUAAAAACCGGCGUGUCCAAGAAAACUUCGGACUUCUCCAAUAGUCUUAGGAGAUUUAAGAUUUUCUAUCACUUCUAUCUUUGCUUUGUCGACCUCAAUCCCUCUUUCAGAUAUUAUAUGUCCUAACACUAUGCCUUCUUUAACCAUAAAGUGGCUUUUCUCCCAGUUUAAUACAAGGUUAACUUCUACGCAUCUUUCUAGGAUUUUCUCAAGAUUAAUGAGGAAACUCUCAAAGUCAAACCCACAUACCGAAAAAUCAUCCAUGAACACUUCCAUAAUUCCAUCGAGAUAAUCUGCGAAGAUUGACAUCAUACAAUGUUGGAAAGUAGCUGGCGCAUUGCAGAGUCCAAACGGCAUUCGUCUGUAAGCAAAUGUUUCGUAAGGACAGGUGAAGGUUGUUUUCUCUUGAUCCUCGGGGUGUAUGGGUAUUUGGAAAAAUCCAGAAUAUCCAUCCAGAUAACAAAAGUAAGAGUGUCAAGCAUUUGAUCUAUGAAUAGAAGGGGGAAUUGGUCUUUCCUAGUUGCCUUUUUGAGUUUCCUAUAGUCUAUGCACAUACACCAUCCUCCUUUUAUAUGUUUAGCCACAUGCUCGCCCUUCUCGUUUUGCACGAUUGUGAUGCCUCCUUUUUUGGGUACCACAUGUACAGGACUUACCCAUUUACUAUCGGAGAUCUGAUAGAUUAUACCAGCUUCUAGAAGUUUAAGGACUUCCUUCUUUAUCACCUCACUCAUUACAGGGUUGAUACUUCUCUGAUGUUCUCCGGAAGGUUUUGAAUCAUCCUCUAGCGAGAUCCUGUGCAUACAUAGGGAUGGGCUUAUACCUUUCAAAUCAGAUAUGGUGUAUCCUAAGGCAGAGGGGUAUCUUCGUAAAUCAUUCAAGAGUUGGUUUGUCUCGUCUUGGUUUAAGGUGGCACUAACUAUUAUUGGGCGGUUCAUUUCUUUAUCCAAAAAUUUGUAUCUUAGGUUCUUGGGCAAUUCCUUAAGUUCUUGAGUUGGUUUUUGAGGGUUUGGUGAAAGGUCUGGAGUAAGGGCCAAACAUUCGUUAGUGCGAGGAUCUGUUUUGUUUAGCUCGUCAUCCUUUUCAUUCGGGUUUGAAAAUGGUUCGAUCAUAGGUUCUUCUUGAUCAAAUUCCCUUAUGCAUUCAUCUAUGAUAGCAAUCGCGUAACAUGCGUCUCCUAUGAUUGGGGCUAUCUGGAAACUUUGAAAGAAUAAACUCUAUCUUUCCAUCUCCUACUUCGAAAGUCAAUUUUCCUCUUUUAACAUCUAUUAUAGCUCUAGUUAUUGAUAAAAAUGGUCUACCUAAAAGGAUAGGGAUAUCGUCGUCUUCCUUGAUAUCCAUGACCAUAAAGUCUAUCGGGAUAUAAAGUUGACUGAUCCUAACGGGGAUGUACUCUAAUAUGCCUAUAGGAUACUUAACAGAUCUAUCGGCUAAUUGGAGGGACAUCUUAGUUGGUUGUAAUUCUCCUAAGUUUAACCUUUUACACAUAGCUAAGGGAAUUAAACUCACACUAGCGCCUAAGUCUAGGAAAGAUUUGUCGAUCACAUGACUCCCUAGAAUGCAAGGUAUAUAAAAACUCCCACGGUCUUUCUCCUUCUUAGCAAGUUUAUUCUCGGAAAUAAAGUUGCAUUCCAAAGGUUUGGGAUCGUCAAGCGUACGCUUGUUGGUUAAAAUGUCUUUGAUAAAUUUGGCGUAAGAUUGAAUUUGGGUGAUGGCUUCGGUGAAAGGUAUCUCUACAUGAAGCUUCUCUAUCACUUUUAUAAACUUUUGGUAUUGGUUAUUGAUUUUGGUUUGUUUAAGUCUUUGCGGAUAUGGGAUUGGGGGUUUGUAUGGGGGUGGUGGUUUGUAAGUUUUAUCCUUGGCUUCUCCUUCUUGGUCGGUUUACUUUUCGGGUUCCACCGGUUCCUCUUCUGUGUUGGUAGGUAUAUUUUCUUUAGUAGCUUUGGACUCGCUCAUUGCUAGGUUGUGAGGCCCUUCGUAAGCGGCCCCACUUUGUAAACCGAUAGCGUUAGCUUGCCCUCGAGGGUUGAGUUGAGGUUGUCCAUGGAAUUAUCCUCCAGGUGUAGUUUGCGGCGCUUGGAUUUGUGCUACCUGUGAGAUCUAGGUUUCAAGCAUCUUAUUGUGAGUAAUUAUCUGAUCAACCUUAGUCCCUAAUUACGUGAACGUUCUAGUUUAGGAAUUCUUUAUUUUGCUGAGUCUGGCCUGAUAUAAAGUUCUCCAUGAUAUUAUCAAGGUUAGGCUUCUGGGGCAUAGGUUGAUUUGGUUUUUGGGCUUGAAAACCUUGUGGUCUUUGAGGUGCAUAGUUUUGGAUAGGGUUCUGGUUUUUAUAGGAAAUAUUCGAGUGAUUCUUCCAUCCAGAGAUGUAAGUGUUUGAAAAUGGGUUAGCUUGGGCGUAAUUCACUUGGUCGGUGUUCAGGUCAUUCAAAAGGUUACAUUAUGCCGAUUCGUGUCCCUUAGAUCCAUAAAGUUCACACUCUGUGUGGACUACCAUUGCGGUGUUCGAGUUUGUAGAAAUAUGGUCGACCUUAAGGGCUAAAGCAUCCAUCUUCGCUUGUAUCAUGUCCAUAGAACUUAUCUCAUGUAUUCCACCUUGGGUCUCCUUUUUCUUGACUGAUGCUCGUUCAGUUCCCCAUUGGUAAUGGUUUUGGGCCAUAUCCUCAAUUAGGUCACAAGCUUCAGGAUAAGGUUUGUUCAUCAGCGCGCCACCAGCGGCAGCGUCGAUGCUCAUCUUUGUGUUAUAAUGGAGUCUAUUGUAGAAGGUAUGAAUGAUCAGCCAUUGUUCUAGGCCAUGGUGUGGACAGACUCUUAACAACUCCUUGUAUCUCUCUCAAGCUUCAAAAAGUGAUUCUCCUUAAUUUUGAGUAAAUCUAGUUAUUUGGUUUCGAAGAACAACAGUCUUACUAGGGGGAAAAUAUCUAGCAAGGAAUACUCUCCUAAGGUCUUCCCAAGUAGUUAUUGAGUUAGCUGGAAGUGAAUCUAACCACGAACAUGCUCUAUCUCUGAGGGAGAAAGGAAAUAGUCUUAAACUAAUUGCCCCAGGUGAAGCACCAUUGGAUUUAAAGGUGUCGGCCAGUUGGAUAAAGACUUUUAAAUGUUGAUUUGGGUUCUCGAUAGCAAGACCCGCGAAUUGGUUUUGUUGCACUAAUUGUAGUAAAAAUGGUUUUAGUUCGAAAUUGUUGGCAGGAAUAAGGGGGUUUACUAUACCAGAACUAGGUUCCUCGUCAUAGGGUUGGGAAAAUUCCUUAAGAGGUCUUCGGUCGCGAUUCUCGGCCAUAGCUUUCUUAAUUCGGAUGAGUAAGAGGCGUCUACGAGUGUAACGUUCGGGUUCCGCUAAAGGAUCUACUAAAUUUCCGGUACUACAAGUUCUUCGCAUUUACCGGCUAAUAAUGCCUUAGUCUAGACGGUGUAACAACAGGGUACGAAAUGUGACGAAGUUGGUCCCCGGUAACGGCGCCAAAAACUUGAUCGCUGUAUUCACAAGUGCACGAAUCGCGUUAGAGUAAUAUAAAAGAAUAUUGAUCCCAAAAGACCAAAUCGUCAAUCUAUCGAUUACUAUUGUUACGAUGUUUAUCUAAGGCGGUACAAAUGAGAUAUUGAUGUCGCAAAAUAAAAGUAAGUAAAGAAAAUGAUAAAUACAGUGCAAAUAAAGAUAUGCUUGAAUGUAUUUCACGUCAGUUAAACGAUGCUUCGAUUGUCUAAAUAGAACUACUUAUGGGGCAAUAUUUUCUACUCUUGAAAAGAAUCCAUUUAACAAGAACUGUCGCUUUCGCGUAUUCAUAACCGAGUUUACCCUUAAAUUAAGGCCUUUUAUUGUCACUUAUAAAAGGUGCGCAGAACGCUAAAGUAGUAAACCUACUUUUAAGAAAUAAGACUCGUAAGCUUAGCUGAAAAGUGAUUUUGAUUCGGAAAGUUUUACGUAAGGAGUUCCUGAUUUUAAAUCUAUCAACGUGUCCGAAAACAAUUUCAAAAAUCGUUUUUCCUUAAAGUGAUAAAAAUUCCUAGAUAACUAAGCCAGGGUGCUUUCGUACUCCUUGAGUAGUUAAAAUUAACCAAGUUUAUUUUAGAAAACUCGAAUUAAGAAUCAAAACAUCCCCUAAAGCAUUUCUACAGAUGCAAUAUGUGAAACAUCUCUUUAACCACGAUCCUUACAUUCUAACCUUUGAACGAUUUAUCCAGACAUGGUAAUACAAACAAACACAAUGAUAUUGAUCAUGAUGAAAAAUUGUUUAGAAUGUAAGGCGUAAAGAACAAGUAAAGCGUGUGAAACAAUUAAAACGAGAAAUAAAGAUAUUGGCGAGAAAAUUAAAUAAAGUAAAGACAAUGGCAGGAAAUUAAAUAAAGUAAGACAAUGGCAAGGAUAUAAAAAAAGUAAAGCAUGACAAGGAAUUAAAUAAAGUAAAGCAUGGCAAGUAAAAGAAAAAUGCGAUUAAAUUAGAACCUGCUCCAAACGGAGGCUUUAAGUCUGAUACAAGUAAGUAAAUAAACCUUCGACUUUGAAAAUAAAGACGACAACAAAAUCAAAGUGCUCCAACUUAAUUACACUAAGGUGCGAUAACCCCUCGAUGUGACGGAUUACAUCUUUUACAGAUGAUAAUAUAGUCUUAGUGUUGUAAACUAAGUUGGAUGAUUUAGAAAUGAACUAGAACGACCUAUUUAUAGAGGAACUCAACAGCUUAUAAAAGACCAUGAUGCCCUUCAACUUCUCUUUAGUGGGAACAUGAAAUGCAAAGGUGGCGCCUGCCACCCCUCCAUGGCGCCCGCCAUGUGAGUAAAUGGGGAAGUUCAUGGGGUCGUGGCAGUUUCCUCCUAGUUGAGGGCUGAUGUGUCAUGGAUUCUCCUAUAGCGGCCGCCAUGCAGAACGCCAUGAGUACAAUUUUUUCCGAAAACCCUAAUUUUAUGGUCUUUUUGCUUCGUUUCUUCUAAAAAGGUCCUGAAAGAGCUAAAUACCUGAAACAAUACAAAAUAAAGCAUAACACAAGAAAAAUGAUAAUAAAGACCUAAAAUACAUGUGAAAUCCGAGUCAAAAACGCGGUGUGGUUCAGUGUGAUCAAAAAGCCAAGGUUAGUAGUACCUUUCACAUGCAUGAAGAUCCUUUUAACAAAUAUUAAGUGGGAUUCUCUAGGAUCUGAUUAGUAGCGAGCAUAUAAACGGACUCUAAAUAAAAUGUCAGGUCUAGAAGAAAUUUAGUAUAGGAGAGAACCUAUCAUACCUCUGUAUACCUUUUUCUCUACCUUUGUGCUUACAUCAUCCUUCUCAAGCAUACAUGUAGGAUUCAUUGGAGUUUUCACUAUCUUUCAUUCUGACAUGUCAAACUUUUUCAGAAGUCUUUGGUAUAUUUUCUAUGAUGGAUAUAUGUUCCUUCUAGACUUUGAUUAAUUCGGAUACACAUAAAGAACUUGAGUUCUCCCAUCAGACUCAUCUGAAACUCUUCCUUCAUUGACUUAGAAAGUUUCUUGCAAAAAGUAGCAUUAGCAGAACCAAAUAUGAUAUCGUCUACAUAUAUUUGAACAACAAGAAUAUCAUUUUGAAUGUUUUACAGAACAUAGUUGUAUCAAUCUUCCCUAUGGUUAAAUCAUUUUCUAAAAGAAAAUUUCUUAGUCUUUCAUACCAUGCUCUAGGAGCUUGUUUCAGACCAUACAAAGAUUUCUUAAGUUAGAAAACAAAAUAUGGAUUUUUGUGAUUUUCAAAACCAUGAGGUUGGUCUACAUACACUUCUUCAGUUAUGUACCCAUUCAGAAAUGCACUAUGAACAUUCAAUUCAUACAAGAUGAUGUUAUGAUUAACAACAAAAGAAACUAAGAGACGAAUAGACUCUAACCUAGCAACUAGUCCAAUGGUCUUAGUAUUGUCAAUCCCAUCUUGCUGAUUAUGGCCAUGUGAAACCAGUCUGGCAUUGUUUCUUACCACUUCUCCUUUUUCAUUUAGCUUGUUUCUGAAGACCCACUUUGUCCCAAUGACAUGAGUUCCUUUAGGUCUAGGCACAGGAGUCUAUGCAUCAUUUUUAGAGAAUUGAUUCAGUUCUUCUUGGAUUUUCAGAAUCCACUAAGUGUUAAGAAGUGCUUCAUCAAUAGAUGUAGGUUCUAUAAGGGACACCAAACCCAAAAGUAUUUCUUCAGAAGGUUUGAAUGAGGAUAUGGUUCUAUUUUAUCUCCCAAAAUCAAUUCUUCAGAGUGUGAGUAUUUUUGUUUUUGCUUCCUCAGAGGAGUCUGAACUUCAACAACUUCUAGAUAUACAAUUUCAAAGUCUUUUUCCUUAGCAUCUUUAGCUUCUGAAGCUUUACCUUCAGAGCCCGAAUAAGUGAUCUCCAGAUCUACAAACUUCUCAAAUAGCUCUGACUUUUCUGAGUCAAGCUUAUCAUAAAAGAUGACAUGAAUUGAUUCCUCAACAAUUCGUGUUUUAGUGUUAUAUACUCUAUAGCAUUUAUAGCAUUCAGAGUAUCCUAACAUUAUACACUUUUGUUCCUUAUAAUCAAACUUGUUCAUAUUUUCUUUAGUGUUCAAAAUAAAACAAGUACAUCCAAAAGGAUGGAAAUAUGAAUUGUUGAGCUUUUUAUUCUUCCACAAUUCAUAAGGAGUCUUACCCAGAAUAGAUCUUAUAGAGAACUUGUUCUGAAUAUAGCAGACUAUGUUUACUUCCUCUGCUCAUAAGUGCUUAGCCACAUUAGUCUCACUGAUCAUGGUUCUGGCCAUUUCUUGCAAGGUCAUAUUCUUCCUCUCUACAACUCUAUUUUAUUAUGGAGUUCUAGGGCAGGAGAAAUCAUGGCAAAUGACAUUUUCAUCAAAGAGUUUUUCAAAAUAUUUAUUUUCAAAUUCACUACCAUGAUCACUUCUAACUUUAACAAUUCUAAAGUCUUUCUCAUUUUGCACUUGUGAGGAGAAGGUCGAGAACACAGAGUGUGACUCUUCCUUGUGUCUUAAGAGUUUGACUGAUGUCCAUCUGAUGUAGUCAUCAACAAUGACUAAACCAUAUUUCUUACCAUUGACAAAAGCAAUUUUCACUGGUGCAAAGAGGUCAGUGUGCAAGAUUUCCAAAGGCCUAGAAGUAGAGAUAAUAUUCUUUGCUUUGAAAGAAGUUUUUGAAAACUUGCCGUUUCGAUAUGCUUCACAAAGAGAAGCUGAAGCAAACUUCAGGUUUGGAAGGCCUGUGACUAAAUAAAGCUUAUUUAGCUGAAAGAUCCUUCUCAUACUAACAUGGCCCAAUCGUUUAUGCCAGACCCAUUGCUCUUCCUUAACAGACAUGAGACAUUUUACAUUCUUAUUUUUAAGAUAAGAAAGUCUAAUUUUAUAAAUGUUAUUUUUCCUCUUGCCGUUGAAAAGAAUGGAACCAUCCUUCUGACUAAUAACUUUAAAAUACUUUUGAUUAAAUAUUAUAUCAUAACCAUUGUCUAUUAAUUGACUUAUCGAUAAUAAGUUAUGAAUUAAUCCAUCAAAUAAUAUAACAUUAGUAAUAGAAUGGAAAGAGUUGUUACCAAUUUUUUUGGAGCCUAUGAUCUGUGACGGCAAAGAUCCCUUGUCCUUAUUUUAAUGAUGUCAAACCUUUUUUUGUUGCUCAUAAUGUGUGUUUUGGACGGUGUCAUCAUAUCAUAGAAUACAUUCAUCCUCUAACAUGCUCAAAGUAUAAGUGAAAUGAGUUCAUGCAUAUAGGAGCAUUUCAUAGAUGUGAAUAAUGUGCUUGAUUAUCAUUGGUAUCUUAGGUUCAUAAGAAAAUGGUUUGAAUUGACCAAAUUAUCAAAAAACUCAUUUUUUACAAUUUAAGAAUUUUGAGUUGACUCAUGAGUCGACUCAUGAGUAGGAGCAUAACUCUCGCGUCUGAACUGUUCGAGUUAUGAGUCGACUCAACUCUGGAAAAACCUGUUUGAGUUGACUCAUCCCCUAUUUGAGUCGACUCAUUGGUUGUUUGAGUCGACUCAUUGGUUGUUUCAUUUGAACCAUGUUGCCACGGGUCUGAACGGGUCGAGUCAUGAGUCGACUCAUCCCUUGUUUGAGUCGACUCAUCGCUUGUUUUACUUAAUUUUCUGUUGUGUAACUUUGAAAAAUAUUUCUGUUAUGUUUGUUAUUUGGGUCAUGCAUCAUAUAAAUAUUCAAGAGUCUCUUCUUCAACAUCGAACAAUAAAAGUGAAAGAUAUACACCAAAGUGCUCAUCAUCUUCAUUCUUCAUUGCAUUUCUCAAUAAUCACACAUAAUAAUCUUUGUUGAGCAUUGUGCAUUAUAGUUGUGAUAACGUUCAAAUAAGAUUGGAUUAUCUUAGUUUGGGUUAAGACUUUGUGUGGGUUUUUCUUGAAUAAAACCAUUGAGGUUUUGUCCUCCAAAAAUUGGGGUUUUUUGCACUAACCUUUGCUUCGCAGAUUCAGCCGAGUGAAAAGUUUGAAGAAUGAAAGGUUCAGUUAAACAAGUAGCGGUAACCAGAGGAUUGUGAAUAAAGCUUAGGGUUCAAGCGACUUGCGUUCGAAAUCAGCCGAGCUGAAGUUUUGGAGAACGUGUCGUUCUUGUAAUAAGGUAGCGGUAAUUGGAGGUUUGUUCGAAGCGCUUGAAGGACUUGGUUCAACUAGAAUCAAGAGGAGAGAAUAGAAUAGGACCUGCAACAACUAUAGGGGCUGAUUGGUGGUGAUCAUUUAUUCUCUUGUAUUGACUUUGCAACGUGUUAAUAAAAACAUCUCAAUUCUAGAUUUAGAAUUGAGGGCAGACGUACCCUAAGCGAGGACGAUAGGGGAACUGCCUCAACAAAUCCGGUCUUGUUCUCUUUAUCUCUUAACUCUUUAAAUUCUACAUUAAUUAAAUUUUGUGUGAAAUUAAUCGUUAAAUCAAUAUCGCUCGAUUGGUGUGCAUAGUAACUAUUCGAUAAAUUGUUGCAAUCACUUUGAUUGCAACUGAGUAAAAUUCCGCACAUUUAAUUUGAGUGAAAUUGAAACUUGGUAUGGAGUGCACACCAAGUGUUCGAUAAAAUUAAUCUCACACAAACUUAGUAAUAUUUUACUGGAUCUCUUAUUGUGUUAAGCAUUAUUAGAGGUAACGAUAUCAAGGAUCAUAGUGGAUAAUCGAUUGAUUUAGAUAGCGGUUGAUAAUCUCUAUCUUAAGUAAUUCCAUUCGGUUUCACGCGUAUCCGAUCUUUCCAAUUAACGGAUCAUUUAGACGAUCACAAUCUAGGGUGCUUCCGCAACCGUUGAAAACAUUUUUAAAAAAUGCUAAAUUUCAAAACUGAUCUAUUCAACCCCCCUUCUAGAUCGGUACUAUCGUCUAACAUUAUCUUCCCUUUUUGAUCACCUUCGAAACCCAUGAAGCCAUCUGGCUUAAGUUCCAAAUCUUGGAACAUAUGCCUUCUUCUCGUCAUUGGCCGUGAGCACCUAGAGUCCAAGUGUUAUGAUUGGUGUUUCAAUUGAGCUGCUAAGGAUGUCUGCACCAUAUACUAUCUUGUUCUUAGAUAUCCAUAUUUUUUGGGUCCUCUCUGAUUAUUUCUCUCAGGGUUUUUAGAGAACUUAGGUCUUUGUGUAAAAUAAUCAUUUUGAGUAUAAGCAUAAUAGAAAUGGGAAUGCAGAGCUUUUGGUUGUGCCUUAGGUUUUGAAAUAGGUUUUUCUUUAGACACAUAGCCAAUUUCUUUUCUUCCAUUUGUGGUAACUCCAUAAAUCAUUGAAGCCAUCUUGCUUCUAUCUAUGUUUCUAGUAAAAAAUGUCUAAAAAGAUUUGAAAUAUUUCUUUAUGACAUUUUUAGAAUCCACAUAAGCUUUUGAAAGAAUUUCUUCCUCAAGUUUAGAACUUUUACUUUGAAGUGAAGAGUUUUCAUUUUUCAGAAUAAAAUUCUCUUCAUUCAAAGUGAAAAAAAUCUUUCUUAAUCUUACUAUAUGGUUCAGAUUAAGAUACUUGGACUUAUUUCAGAUCCUUGUAUUUGUUCUGAAGCUUUUGAUAUUUCUCCAGAAUUUCAGAAAGACAAGAUUCUAAUUCAGAGCGAGAUAAGUUAGGAAAUACCUCCUUAGAGUUUGACUCUUAUUCUGAUUCUGAUUCUGGUUGGAUAUUUUCAUCAGAUGAUUAUGUGCUUGCCAUUAACACUGCAUUAGCUUGCUCUUCCUCAGAGUCAUCUUCUAAGGAUUCAUAGCCAUCCCAGCUAGCCAUCAAACUUUUCUUCUUUCCUCUGAAGUCUUUCUUCUAUGGUCUAUCUUUCAUUAGCUUGGGACACUCAUUCUUGUAGUGACCUGGCUCCUUCUACUCAAAACAGAUAACGUCUUUGCCAAAACCUGAAUUCUUCAGUAUAGAUAUAGGCUCAAAGCGACCACCUAUCCUUUUGGAGCCUCUGAACUUGCUUUGUCUUUUCUUCCAGAGUUGAUUAACUCUCCUAGAAAGAAGAGAUAAUUCAUCUUCUUCUUCAGAGUCUUCUUCAAAAUCCUCUUCUUCUUCAUGUUGAAAGGCUUUAGUAUUUGCAGACUUUCCCAUAAAUUUUAGAACCACAAAUUUAACUGUUCUUUAAGGCUCAUCUUCUUCAAUCUCUAUCUCAUGAAUUCUUAAAGAAAUCAGAAGCUCUUCAAGAGUUAUGUUGUUCAGAUCCUUAGAUAGUUUCAAAGUAAUUACCAUAUGCCUCUAUCUCUUGGGUAAGCUUUUGAUUAUUUUAUUAAAAUGAUCUACAAUAGAGUAACCUUUGUCCAUUACCUUCAGUCUUGCAACAAGAGUCUAAAACCUUGAGAACAUGCUCUCAACAGUUUCACUGUCUUCCAUCUUGAAGGCUUCAUACUUUUGUAUCAAGGCAAGCGCCUUGGUUUCUUUCACUUGAGUGUUUCCUUCAUGAUUAAUGCUUAGAGAAUAAAAAAUAGACUUUGUUGUGUCUCUAUUUAUGAUCUAUUCAUACCCAGAGUAUGAUAUAACAUUCAACAGGAUGGUACUUGCUUUAUGAUGAUUCUUGUAAUCUUUAUUUUGUUGAUCAAUCAUCAUUCUUCUUUCCACCUUUUUAUUGUAGCAGUGCAUUCAUGACCAUCGAGCUAUGGAUAAACCCGAUGUCAAUUGAAAAAUUAGAGUAGCCACCGCGCCUUACUUGUUUCCAAAGGAAAAUGGAAAAGUACGAACAAAACCCAAAGAUAAGAAUUUUUCAAAUCAAAACUAAUAAAAUGCCAGAGAUUACAAGUAAGGGGGUUGGUUACACAAAGGAAAUGUAUUAGCACCCAAAAUGUCCUAGGUACUCUUAGGGAGCCCUUUUUUUGUGUGCAAGUGCUUUAGUUGAAAAUAUGUUUGAUAAAAAUGGAAUGGGGGGAUGAGAAAAGAAUUAAUUUAUUUUUUUGUGUUUGACAAGACCUUUGGUCUUAUGCCUACGUACCAACAUAAAAAUGAGGGAUCAAAAGCCCGUAGUUCGUGGUAAAAAUUUCAAAGAAAUUGGUGGAUUAAUUUUAACAAAGGUUUAGAAGAAGAAGAAACUAGAUGGCCAAAAGAUUUGAAUGAAGUUGUUAAAUCUUUUUUUAUUUUUGAAAUUGAGGUCAAUAUGAUUAAGUUUAUUCAUUUGAAUUAAGAAAAAGUUUGAAAAUUCAUUGGCCUAAGGCCAAAGUUUCCACUCAUUAAAACAUGUCUAAGUUGAAAACACAAGCAAAAAAGGUUUUGAAAAGAGGGAGAGAUUUUGAAAUUAAAGAACUGGGGAGGAGAUGAAGGGAUUGCCCUAAACAAAAUUAAAAGUUAAGAGUUGAAAAAAUAUGACCAAUAGGAAGAAAUCCACAAGACAAGACUGUCAGAUAGAAACCCAUUUCCUUUGAACUUUUGAGUAAGUAAUAAGCAUAAGCAAACAUCCCAUCAAAUAAUAAUGAAGACCAAGGAAUCAAAUAAAGAUAGCCAUAAUAUCCAAGCAAGCAUUCCAAUAGAAAGCAUUCUUCAAUAUCUUUAAAUGUAUCAGAUGAAAAUAUUCCUUGGCAAACUCACAGAGAUAAUCAUCAGACAUCAAUAAUAAUGACAAUAUAACAAUUAAGCACAGAGACAAAGUGACAGAUGAAUCAAGGGAGUCAAGGCUUGCAUUAGAUGAAAGGACACAAUCAAGGAUAAUGGCAUUGGCCAAUUCCUUUUAAGAAUAGGGAAUGUUUCCUACUUCUAAGUCCACGAGUUCAGAUCCAAUCAAGGGCAUAGGGAAUGUUGCCAAUUCUAAGUCCAAGAGUUUGUAUCAAGUCCAACAGUCUGUAGCGGUGCAUUCGUGACCAUCGAGCUAUGGAUAAACCUGAUCUCAAUUGAAAAACCAGAGUCGCCACCGCGCCUUAUUUGUUUCCAAAGAAAAAGGGAAAAUUAUGAACAAAACCCCGAGAUAAGAAUUUUUGAAAUCAAAACUAAUAAAAUUCCAGAGAUUACGGGUAAGGGGGUUGGUUACACAAAAGGAAGGUAUUAGCACCCAAAGUGUCCUAGGUACUCCUAGGGAGCCUUUUUUUUUUGUGUGCAACUGUUUUAGUUGAAAAGAUGUUUGACAAAAAUGGAAUGGGGGAAUGAGAAAAGAAUUCAUUUAUUAUAUUUUUGUGUUUGACAAGAUCUUCGGUCUUAUUCCUAUGUACCAACAUAAAAAUGAGGGAUAAAAACCCUGUAGUUCGUGGUAAAAAUUUCAAAGAAGUUAGUGAAUUGAUUUUAACAAAAGUUCUAAUAAAAAGGGCACAAAAUGGCCAAAAGACUUGAAUGGAGUUGUUAGUUCUUUUUGUCUUUUUGAAAUUGAGAUCAAUAUGAUUAAGUUUAUUCACAAAUUUGAUUUAAGAUUUUUUUUUAAAAAUUCAAUGGCAUAAGGCCAGAGUUUCUAAUUAUUAAAACAUGUCUGAGUUUGAAAUCACAAGCAAAGAAUAUUUUUUAAAAGGAGGGAAAGAUUUGAAAUUAAAGAAGUGGGAGGAGAUGAAGAGACUACCCUAUCCAAAUAAUAUAAGUUAAGAGUUGAAAAGAUAUGACCAAUGGGAUGCAAUCCACAAGACAAGAAUGUCAGAUAGAAACUCAUUUCCUUUGGACUUUUGAGCAGAAAAUAAGCAUAAGCAAUAUCCAAGCAAUUAAUCAUGAAGGCCAAGGAAUCAAAUAAAUAUUGCCAUAAUAUCCAAGCAAGCACUCCAAUAGCAAGCAGUCUUCAAUGUCUUCAAAUGUAUCAGAUGAAAUAUUUCCUUGGCAAACUCACAUAAACAAUCAUCAGACAUAAUUACUAAAAAUAAUAAAACAAUCAAGCAUCGAGACAAAGUGGCAGAUGAACUAGGAGUACUCAAGGUUUUCAUCAUAUGAAAGGCACAGUCAAGGAUAAUUCAGUCUCAGAUAGUGGCAUUGGCCAAGUGCCCAAAGCAUAGGGAAGGUUGCCUAAUUCUAAGUCCAAGAGUUCAGAUAAAGUCAAGGGCAGAGGUCGAACAGUCCACCAACAUAAUUUUUAGGGUUUUUGUUGUUAUUAGGUAUUUUAAUGUCCUAAGACCACAAACAAAACAAAACCAAAAUCACACAAAAUAUACAAGUACAAAUGAUAUGGCUCAAGUGAGCAAAGUGAAAAUGACUGAAACAUAAACAUCUUGCAUAAAAUGUUAAUGGCAAUGAAUGAUAAAGGUACCGAAAUUUAAAUUUCAUUAAGUAAAUGACUUGAAAGUAAAGUAAUGUUAAUGAAAUGUUAGUUAAAUGUUAGUGAAGAGUUUAUUUGUUUAAGUCAUUCUUUGGAGUACACUCAACCAUCCAUUCACAAGUAUGAAGACAUGAACCAAGACAUCAUCCAUGAGAAAGGGCUCCAACUUGGAUAAAUCAACAAGUAUACCACUAGCUCUCAUGAAUGGAAAAAAGGAAAAGUCUUCACACAAUACCAUGAAGAAUGAGAGACUUACAAUCUCACUUAUUAGAAUGCUAUACCUUGCGGGACAAAUUUAGCUAUAUGUUAAGCAAUCGUAAUUGGACUUAUGCAGAAGUCACAACUAUAUGAGGUCGGACAAUAAUAAUAUUAGCGUUAAUGCAUGUUAGAGACUUGGUACAAAGAACCAAACUCUUAAAACAUACCACACACAAAAAUAAAGUGGGAAAGACCUAUCUCAAUCCAGCUCAUGUUGAUUCAUUUGACACAAGGUCAUUGAUGAAUCAACUAGCAUUUGGACAUUAGAGAAAUCAUUGGACAAUGAUGGAUUGGGAAACAAUAUGGAUGAAGAUAAGGAUGGGAGGGGAGAUAGAAACCCAAAUUGAUCACGGGAGGAAAUUCAUAUGAUUAAUACUAUCCAUUCAUCUUCAGGGAUGAAAUGUAUAUUUCAUCAACCCCCAAAAUCCAAAUGUAUUGAUCAAAUAAAAGUUCAAAUCAACCAUGAUCAAGGUCAAACAGAAAGUCAAACAUCACAAAGUGAAUCAAAUGGCUCAACGAUAUUUUUAAACAAUUAAACAAUUAAAAAUCAAUUUUAACAUGAAUUAAAAUGCAUUUUUAAAUGGACAAAACCUCAAAUCCCUUCAAAUCACCAAAUAAAUGGCCAAGGGAUUUAUCCUAGGUCAAACAAGGUCAAAGGAGCCUAGAUAAAAAAAUUUAGAAUUUUGGGAAAGUCAGAAGUAUUUUAUAAUAUUUAAAAACAAGUCCAAAAUCAAUUAAUUCACAAAAAAUAGCAAAAUUAGUCCAAAAAAAUUGAUUUUAAUUCAAAAUAAGGAAGAUGAUUAAAAAUGAAUUUAUUAUAAAUUAAUCAAAAUAAGUGGAUUAAAAGAAAAAUAAGAAAUUGAAACAAAAUUGGAAAAAACAAGGGCCAUCAGAUCUCCCUCAUUAAUUAGGUGGCAGAUCUGAUGGCCACGCAUGUGGUGUCCACCAAACACACUAGUCAAACGCGCUGCAAACAUGUUCAUACAAACAAAGGAGAUAUGAUUAAAACGUUUAAACAUGAUCAUAUGGUUGGGAGGGUGCCAACACACCACCGGAGCCCUAGCUCCGGUCUUCUUCUCCGGUGGACCUCAUUUGACUGAUCCAUCACCAACUUCCAUAAAAAAAAGUAAAUACACUAUUUUGAAGGAAAAAACCUCAGGAGCCCAAAUCUGACCUCAACUUUCUCCAAUUCCAAGUAUAUUGAAAGAUGUAUGGAUUUGAAAUUUGAGGAAUAUGAUCUAAGUUGCUUCGAUUUAACUUCAAAGUAACUCAGUCUUGUUGCCUACAUUGGUAGGACUUCAGCCAACCAAAAACCAAGUGAAAUAAUGGAGAAUUGAGGGAGAAUCAAAGAAGGAAAGUUUCACAAAACUCACAUUCUGUGUGCAGUGAUGAAGCUCGAUCUGGAUUUCAAUUUGCUUGGGCUUGCUUCCACUAGCUUGUAGGAGAUGAAAUGGAUGCUCAAAUGGUUUGGACUCUUGGAGUUUCAAUCUCAAAACAGAAGUGAAAUUGAAACUCGAUUUCAAAUGAAAUCUUCAAGUUUAUCCUAUCAAUGGAGGGUGGAAAUGUUGCAGGAGCAAGGCUUGGGCAAGGUGUCCUUGAUUCGGAGUAGAAUGACUUGCAUUUAUAGGUUUGGCAAUUGAUUUCCACACACUUCCAUUCAAAUGCCAAAAAUAGUAAUUCUAGUGUGCAUGCUUGCAUGGGAGUGUGAUAUGACCAUCAAAUGAUUGGAGUUGGUUCAAAGUUGUGCACAUGUGAUGCUGAAAGCUUAACAUGAGACCAUGCAAAUGUAUUUGAAAAUUGGCCAUGAAAAUCAUCCAAAUUGGGCCAUAAACUACACCCAUGCGCAAAUCCUUCAAAAAUGCUCCAAAUUCCAUGAUCUUAAACUCUCUGGAAAGGUAACAUGAAGCGGAAAACUUUGUUGUUAAAUAAUUUUCCAUUCGGAGCUUGGACCAUUAUGAAUUUUAAGGUGGAAGUUGGAGAAAUCAAACAUAGUUUAAAAUUUUCUAAUUUUAAAGUCAAAUCACCACUUUUUCCACCUUGAAUAACUUUUGCUAUAAGCUUCUAAUGAAAAUCAUUCCUUCUUCAAAGUUUUAUCUAUUUAAUUUAUCUUCAAUUUGGUAAGAAAUUUGUCACCAUUUGGAUCUUUCAUGAGGGAGUUAUGGAUUUUAGAAGUUAAGUAAAAUUGUUUGUUCAAUGAUGAUGGUCCAAAACGACCUAUAAUGUUUCCUCUUGGUACAUGGCCUUUCAAGUUGAAUUUUACAUUUCUCAAAUAAGAAAAGUUGGAUAAGACAUCUUGAAUUUGAUCAUGAAACUUGGAUGUUCUUCAUAUCAUAAAAAUUGAGCAAGGUAUGGUCUUUGGAAGUUGACCUCCUAACUAGGGCACAAACAAAAUGACAUAUAAUCUUUCACCAUAAAAAAUGACUUACCAAGAAAAAUUAGCUCUUGAUGCCAACAUGAAAGUUGUUUGAAAUUUCAUAAAUAGUAGUGUUUCUCUUGGAAUCAUUUUCAUAUGACAAAUAUUGUAGGGGAUAGGGGAUAUGGUACCCUAGAUUUGACUAGUUGACUUUCUCUAGUCAACCUCCUUGAACCAACUUGUAAACUUGAAGUUACAUUGAUCUUUGGGGAUCAUGGAGGAUAAGAUAUGCUUGAGAUGAUGUAUAAUGAAGUAUCCCAUAAUAUAUUUGACCAAUUUAUGAAGAAACUUAUUGAGGAAGUCACACAAGAUACCCUGAUUAAUUAGGGCUUCCAAGGCAAACAAGCUUCAAACUCUUGAUGAAUUCUUGAUCAAAAUGAGAAAUAAUGAACAUGGGGAUCUAUAUAUGAUGUUUAGAACCAUUUUUAACCUUUCCUUGAUUGAUCUCUUUGCAUUUAGGGUCUCAAACCCUAGAUGUGGUCUUGAUGGUGCACAUGUGAACUCACACACUACCUACAAAAGAAAUGAAGUCGCACUAGAUAUAUUUUUGGUAUUUUAAUUAGUAAACCAAAUAAAAAUAAAGUAUGAUACAAUAAAAUGUGCUUGGUGAUCUCUCCCAAUGCAAACGCAAUGAAUGAGGGGUGAGGAGGAUACCAAGGUGUGAUCCCAAAGUCAAUGCAAAUGAUGAGAUAACAUGAGGGAUCUUAGGGUUAAAAUUAGGGUCUUACACAGUCCACCAAGACAUUUUUUAUGGUUUUUAUUGUUAUUAACUAUUUUAAGGUCCUAAGACCACAAACAAAAUCACAAGCACACAAUAUAUACAAUCACAAGAUAUGGCUCAUGUGAGCAAAGUGAAAAUGACUGAAACAUAAACAAGUUGCAUGAAAUGUACAUGGCAAUGAAUGAUAAAGGUACCACAAUUUAAAUUUCAUUAAGUAAAUGACAUGAAAGUAACACAAUGUUAAUAAAAAGUUAGUAAAUUGUUAGUGAAUAGUUUAAUUUUUUAAGUUAUUCCUUGGAGAACACUCAACCAUCCGUUCACAAGUAUGAAGACAUGAACCAAGACAUCAGCCAUGAGAAGGGCUCCAACUUGGAUAAGUCAACAAGUAUGCCACUAGAUCUCAUGAAUGGAAAAAAGUUCAAGUCUUCACACAAUGCCAUGAAGAAUGGGAGACUUACAAUCUCACUUACUAGAAUGUUGUGCCUUGUGAGACAGAUUUAGCUCUAUGUUAAGCAAUCGUAAUUGGAUUAUGUACAAGUCACAACUAUCUAAGACCAGGCAAUAAUAAUAUUGGUGUUAAUGCAUUUUAGGUACAUGGUACAAAGAAUCAAGCUCCUAAAAUAUACCACACACAAAAAGUAAAAUGGGAAUGACCUAUCUCAAUCAGGCUCAUGUUGAUUCAUGUGACACAGGGUCAUUGAUGAAUCAACUAGCAUUUGACUUGUAGAGAAUUCAUUGGUCAAUGAUGGAUUGGGGAAGAAUAGGGAUGAAGAUGAAGAGUAGAUCAUAGGAGGAAUUUCAUCUGAUCAAUACUAUCCAUUCAUUUUGAGGGAUGAAAUGUACAUUUCAUCAACCCCCUAAAUCCAACAGUAUUGAUCAGAUAAAAUUUCAAAUCAACCAUGAUCAAGGCCAAACAGAAAGUCAAACAUCACAAGGUCAACCAAAUGGCUCAACAAUAUUUUUAAACAAUUAAACAAUUAAAAAUAAAUUUUAUAAUGAAGGAAAAUGCAUUUUUAAAUAGACAAAACCUCAAAUCGCAUCUGUAAUACCCUAAUUUUGACCCUAAGAUCCCUCAUGGAAUCAUAUCAUUGCACAUUGCAUUUGCCUCAAGGAUCAUAGCAUCUUGGCUCCUUGCCCUAGGGUGGGACUUGUGUGAGUUGGUUUGAGACCACCAAGCAUGCUUGAAUUGUAUAUUAUUGCUUUCCUUAUUCUGUUUACUAACCAAAAGCACAAAAAUAUGUCACUAACAUCUUUUGUUUUGAGCAAUCAUAAGAUCCAAGGCUCAUAGGAGACCCUAUGCUCAUUGAUGUGGCCAUGUGAAGGUGAAAGCAAGCAUGACAAUGGUUGACAAAUCUCUCAAUCAUCAUAUAUGCCUCCCAAGUAUCUCAAUUUGUCAAUUCGAUCAAGAUAAACCAAAGGGCUUGAGGAUUAUUUCCCAAGGAAACCCUAAUUCAACUGUGCAUUGACUGUGCCUUGCUCAUGAAGCAACCUCAACCCAUGAUCAAAUAGAAUCAAGGGAAGUUCUUUCAUUCAUCAUUUCAUGCAUAUUUGAGCUUAUUUGAGUGUCCUCAAUCAUCAAUUCAUCAAGAUUGGAAGUUUGGACUUGAGAAUUUGAUCAGUCAAUUCAUCUGACUAUUUUGAAAUCCACUGAGACCUAACUUUUAAUGUUUUUGUCAAAUGGAGAUAACCCCAAGAGAAACAAUGUUCUUAAGAACCAUAUGAACAACUUUCAUGUUCAUCAAAAAUCCAAAUGAUGCAAAAUUUAAGUCCAAAUUGAUUUUCUUGAAAAGAUAUACAACUUUGAUGUUGAAGGUUUUGUCAUUUGAGGCUUGCAUCAUUGAAACAGAAGGGCUUAAAGUUGGUCCAUUUUGGAAAAUUUCACAUGCACAUCUUUUGCACCUUAAACUUUAUGACCAAUUUUCAUUAAUUUCCCAAUUCCAAAUGGAUUUUUGUCCAACAUAACAAUUGUUCCUCAUGUCAAGACCUUUCCAACCAUUACCCACAAGGCCAUGUUUCACUUUGGUAAGAUGCAUUUUCGAAGAGGAGAACAUUUAUGUGCAUUUUUUGUAACAAUGAUGAAACUUCAUGCACACCCCAAUUCAAUUACAUUUGCACGUCCAAACCUGAUUGUUAUGACUUCAGCAUGCCAAAUCAUUUGCAUUUGGGCCUCCCAUACGCCUGUACAAGCCCAUUCAUGGAGGCCCUCACUUCAUGCACACAUGAAUUUUCCAUGCCUUGCAGCUUGCUUUGCUAUAAAUAGAGGUGUUCAACUCCACCAUUUCCCAACCUUAAGGCGCCUUAUAUGCUGCAGAAGUGAAUCCCCACACCCUACCAAAGGAAUUUUGCAUUUUCACUUCAAAUUUUCAGAUCCAAUUUUCAACUUCCUUGGUUGAUUAUUGGACUCUAAUUCCUUAGCCUUGCUCUAUCUCCAUCUCAAAAACACACUGCAAUCAAGAGUUAGAAGUGAUCGUGCUUCAUAGAGUUGCACUUCAAAGGUUGUUAUCCAAACUUUUUCAAUUCGAAACUCACUGAUUCUUGCUCAUUUCUUGUGUUUAUUGGCUUGUCUGAAAUCCUCUCAUAAGAGGCAAUUGAAUUAUGUGUUUAAUUUUGCAAAUCCAUCAAGUUCAGUUUGAACUCCAUGAUUUUCUCUCUCUGAUUUCUCUUUCUAUGAGAGUCUAGAGGAGGAACCAAUGGUACAGGGGUGAUGUACAUCACCCCAGCUUUCCAAUGAUAUGAGGAUCGCUUGUUUUGGUUGAGUUUUUAUCUCUUUCUAUGAGAGUCUAGAGGAGGAACCAAUGGUACAGGGGUGAUGUACAUCACCCCAGCUUUCCAAUGAUAUGAGGAUCGCUUGUUUUGGUUGAGUUUUUCAUACCUGCAACUUUCACCGGAGUUGAUGCACUCGCCGGAGAAGACAGUGGUGUACACUACCGUCUCUGUUGCUAGAUCUCAUGUGGACCGUUGGAUUGUGAUUCCAGUUUAAAUCGUGGCCCUUGGAUGUUAUGACCUUUUUAAUUCAUUGUGUUGCUCAGUUGACUAGAGCCCAUCGUGCACGCACAUCUCUCCUCCCUUGGAUGUGCCACCUCAAUUAAUGAGGUUGAUCCAACGCGCCUGGAUUUUUUGCUUUUCUGAUUUUUCUAUUUUAUUUUCCAUUAUUUCAUUUUAAUUCAAAAAAUCAUAUCUCUUUCAUUUUAAAUCCAAAAAAUAUGGGACCAAUUGCAUUAUUUCCCUUUUUAAUUCUAGUUUCUGAAAAUGAUUUUUAAUAUUUUUUAUUUUGUCAUUUGAUAUUUUUUAUCAUAUCUCUUUCAUUUUAAAUCCAAAAAAUAUGGGACCAAUUGCAUUAUUUCCCUUUUUAAUUCUAGUUUCUGAAAAUGAUUUUUAAUAUUUUUUAUUUUGUCAUUUGAUAUUUUUUGUGAAUUUUCACUUUUCUGGUUAUUUUUAAUUCAUUUUAAAUAGUUUUCAAUAUUCAAAAAAUGCAAAAAUAUUUUCUUAGCCUCUUUGAAUGAUGAUGAAUCUAUGAAAAAUAUUCUCAUCAAUUUAUUAAUUGAUUUGAGAUUUAUUUGAGAUUUUAGUUCAAUUAGGUUAUUUUUAUUCAUUUUUAGUUGUUUAAAAAUAGUUUUUGGUUUCUAAAAAUGUUGGAAUUUUUUGUCAAACUUUGUUUGACCUUGUUGAACUUAGGAUGAUCCAUUUGGACUUUUCAAAGUUGAUUUGAAAUGGAUUUGAAGUUUGACCUUUGUUUGAUUAUUUUAAUUCAAGUAUUAUUUUAAUUUUCGAAAAUACCAAAAAUAUUUUAUUUGUUUUUUGACUUCUAAGCUUCAUUAUGCUUCUAUUUACCAUUGAUUGACUUUGAUUCUAUUCAUGUUUGAUCAAUGUGUGUUGGAUAUCUCAUUUGCAUUUCCAUUCAUGUACAUUCUUAUUCAUCUUCUUCUUUUUUUUCUUUUUUUGAUCAAUGGGUUAAAGAUUGGUGGUUAGCCUUGACAUAUGGGAGGCUUAACCUUCCUUGAUUCAAAUCUAAUUCACCUUGAUCAUAUAUCAAGUGAAUGGCUUUGCAUUAAGGAUAGGUUGCUUCUUGGUCAAGCAAAAAAACCUAGAUCAAUACAAGAUCAUUCUUCUUUUCUUUUGGCAUGGCAAGUUGUAGGAGCUUGGCUUACUAGUCAAGGUCUCUAACUUGUGUUUGUUGCCUAUAUUUUUAUUGACCGGCCUCAGAUAGAUGUGACUACUGUUAGAUUCCCAAAAGUGAUUAUUUGAGCUAUCAAAUGUGGGCAUAUUUCACUCCUUUUUGUUGCUAAAGUGUUCGAAACUGCCUUUGUUUUAGAUGAAUUGCAAUACAAUGUUAAACGAUCUUGGUACCUUUAAUUUGUGCGUUAUUGUGCAGGAAUUAGGCAUGAAAUAAUAGAAAAUGAAGGCACAAGAAAGUUGGCAAAGGGACCAAGAAAAGAAUGCAUUCAUCAGCAUGCUCGCUAGGCGAGUGCUGUGGCGAAGUGCUCGCUAGGCGAGCACCAAGCGAGCUGCUAGCGAGCAUUCCCAGAAUUUUACAGUAGCAAAGUCAGCAAACUCGCUAGGCGAGCAUCCAGCGAAGGUGGUAGCGAACACACCCAGACUUGGUCAAAAGCACAGCCAGCACUUACUCGCUAGGCGAGCACCUAGCGAGCUCCCAACGAGCAAUUCCAGUAGCAAAACCAUCUAAGCUCGCUGGAGCGAAGGUGGAAGCGUGGGCUUCGCCUAGCGAACACAUGAAAUAUGGCCAAGGAUAUUUCUCUGAGCGCAGGUUCCUCUGGUGCCUAUUUUGGGGCUCGCUAGGCGAACCAUUCUGCUCGCCUAGCGAGCAUGACAGCUCAGACAGCAGUACUAUAAGUAGCAGGGGCUACUUUUUGGAAGCCAUACUUUGUACUUUUUAAACUUAGCAUUUCUUAGAUAUUUUCCAGCAUUGCUCUAGAGAUAUUUUGUAACCUAGAAACACUUUUUCUUCAUUUUUCUUCAUCUCUUAACAAUAUUCCACAAAAAGAAGGUGGAUUCCCAUCCAAUCUCGAUUCUUCGACUUGGAUGUUGAUCAACCUUCAACCGAGACUUUUUGUACAAGCCACCAUGAAAAUGAGUGGCUAAGUUCUUCAUUUUGUCAAGGUUAGAUGUAGAUGAUCUUAAGCUUUGUGUGUAUAUGAGAUGAUCUUCAUUUGUAAACUCUUUAAUGAUGAAUAUAUGGUGAAAACUAUGUUUUAUCGAUAACUCUUUGUGUUGGUUUAUGAUCGAGAGAUGUUUACCAACUCUUUACCUAGGUUUUCAUCCAAUCUUAUUUGUUAGCUAGAGAUAGUAAUGAAUGAUUUUGUUCACCAUAAGGUUGAACCAAAAAUUUGUCAUUUUGAUAGAUUGUGUUAGAGAUAAACAAUGGAUCAUUUACCCUUUUGAGUGUUACACACAAUGAGAUAAACACAUUGGGAGGACUUUGUGAAAUAGUUUAUCAUCUAAAGGAGUUUAUGAGUCUUGUUGAUCGAACGUAUACAUGCAAAGUGAUCGUCGAACUCUAACUUUGACAAUCUUUCUCAAAUAGAAAAACCAAAACUUUUACCGCAUUUUCUUACACUUUUAUGCAAGCUACCGUGACCAAAACCAAAACCCCCUUGUUACUGCGAGUUAAGAAUUAAAACAACUGUCGAACGGCGACGAUAUCUCACAAUCCCUGUGGAUAUGAUAACAAAAACCCGAUACUUAAAAUUACUACAUUCAACAAAAUGGCGUCGUUGCCGGGGAUUGUAAAUUGAUAUUGCGAGCAUCGCAAUAGUUGCUAGAUUUUUAGCUUUUGAAUUUUUUGACUUGUGCUUGUAAUUUGUUUGGUUUAGUGUGCAGCUUUCGUUUUAUGCGAGGGCAGGUUCCCGAGGACGAACUUCUUUUUGAUCCAGAGAUUGAAAGAACUGCAAGGAGACUGAAUAGCAGAACGAGACAAAGGAGGCAGCAAGCUAGACAACGACAAGAACAAGGAGAAAGUUCUUCUACAACACAUCCACCACCUUUCACACCUAUCAUGGAUCAACCACCACAACCACCGCCCAUUUCCACACCAUGUGUAAACAGUUCCAAGGAAUACUUCUCAGUUUGCCAACCACACGGGAAGGCAAGCCGAGAUGAAAACGGGAACUCUUAACUUGCUAUAUGGAAGUCCAUUCACCGGAAUGGACCAUGAAGAUCCCUUUGCUUUUCUCACCAAAUUUUAUGAGAUAGCAUUGGCGGCCGGAGUUGAUCAAGCUCAAGAGCUACUGUUGUUCAAAAGAUUAUUUCCCCAUGCUUUGCUCGGCAAAGCGAAAGAUUGGUACUUGGAUCAAACACCUGCAUUCAUGACGGAUUGGAACGUGUUGGAAGAGAAGUUCAUUGAAAGAUUUUUCUCCCACAACCGUUUCAUGGAAUCCAAAACGGCAAUCUCCGUGUUUUCACAAGGGACCAACGAAUCAUUGAAUGAAGCAUCGGAAAGAUUUAAAUCCAUGCUUCAGAAGUGCAAAGGGCACGGUUUCGACGAAUUGACUCAAAUCCACAUUUUCAAAAAUGGCCUUCAACCAAAUUGCAAGACUUUGCUGGAUGCUACCUCGGGUGGUUAUUUGUUGUCUAAAGCGCCGAAGAAGCCACUGAUAUCAUUAACCGAAUGGCUCUAAAUGACCUCCAAAGUCAAAGUAGAGGCAACUCUUCGAAGAAACCGGGAGUGCUUGAACUUGGGACGAACGAUGCCAUUCUUGCCCAAAACAAACUCAUUUCCCAACAAGUUGAACUCUUAACUCAACAAAUAAAAGAGUUGAGAGAGCCUUCAAAAGCUAAACAAAUAGCUUGUUGUGAGCUUUGCAAAGGUGAGCAUGACACCGGGUUUUGUCCACCUCCCGGGUUCGAAGAAGUAAAUUACAUGGCGAACCAACGAGACUACCAACCGAGGCAACAACAACAACAACCGUAUCAACCACAUCCUCCAAAUCAACAACAACACUUUCAAGGGAAUCAAGGGUUCCAACCAAGGAGUAACUAUUACCAUAACCAAGGUUAUGGGGGUGGUUCUUCUAGCCAUCAACACCCUCCCCAAAAUCCUUACCAACCUCAACGACCGCCGGUCGUAACUUCAAAGUUGGAAGAGACAUUGACACAAUUUAUGCAAAUGUCGAUGGCUAAUCAAAAGAGCAACGAUGCGGCAAUCAAAAAUCUCGAAACUCAAGUCGGUCAACUUGCUAAGCAACUAACGGAACAACAACCUGGACCAUCUUUUUCGGCGAACACGCAAACGAAUCCUAAAGAGCAUUGUAAAGCGAUAACGACGAGAAGUGGAAGGGAGUUGAUUAGUGAGAGUGAAAAGAGAGAUGAGAGUAAAAAAAAGAGGAUGAAGAAAAUGAUGAGGAGAAAAUAAUCGAGGAUAGUAUUGAUGGUGAAGUUGGGGAGUGGAGUGAGGAAGAAGUUGAAAAGAAUGAAAAAAAUGGUGAAGUUGAAAAUAAAGAAAGUGUGGAAAUUGAGAAAAAUAAGAGUGAUGAAGUGAUGGAGAGGAAGAAGUUGAAAAGAAUGAAAAAAAUGGUGAAGUUGAAAAUAAAGAAAGUGUGGAAAUUGAGAAAAAUAAGAGUGAUGAAGUGAUGGUGGAGGAAGUGAAAAAGAAAAGAGCGAGAAGUUCUACAGUUGCUAAAGGAAAGGAGGUAGUGAGCGCUACUCCAAUCCAAAACCUUCCGUAUCCACAUGCUCCAUCUAAAAGGGAGAAUGAACGACAUUACGCCCGGUUCAUGGAUAUUUUCAAACAACUGCAAGUGAACAUUCCAUUUGCCGAAGCAUUGGAGAAAAUGCCAAAGUAUGCAAAAUUCAUGAAAGACAUACUUACUAAAAAGCGGAGGUAUACGGAACCGGAGACCAUUGUCCUAGAUGCGAGUUGUAGUGCAAUCAUUCAACGAACGCUUCCAAAAAAAGAGGUUAAUUCGGGACGAGUUACUUUGCCGGUUAAAAUUGGUGAUGUCUAUGUCGGAAAAGGACUAAUUGAUUUAGGGUCAAACAUUAAUCUAAUACCAUUGUCUAUUGUUAAGAGGCUUGGCAACAUUGAAAUCAAGGCCAUCCGGAUGACGUUGCAAUUGGCCGAUAAGUCGACUACCCAUCCUCAUGGCGUAGCCCAAGAUGUGUUGGUCAAAGUUGACAAAUUUUUCUUCCCGGUUGACUUCAUUGUGAUUGAUAUGGAAGAGGACGACGAUGCUCCGCUCAUUCUUGGCCGACCGUUCAUGAAAACCGCACGCAUGAUGAUAGACGUUGAAUAGACGUUGACGACGGUUUGAUGAAGGUAAGGGUCCAAAAUGAAGAAGUUACUUUCGAUCUAUUCGAAGCCAUGAAGCAUUCAAAGGAUAGAAGUGAUAGCUUUCGCAUUGAUGUGAUCGAAGAGGAAACUAUUGAGGUUUCUAAACAUAUUCAUGAGAUAGACCCUAUGGAGUUAGCUCUUGAUGACUCCUUCGAAGUUUUCACAAUUGAAGAAGAGCAAGCUCUUGAUGAAUGCCUAAGGGAACUUGAUAGUCUAGAAGAGUUACAUCCGUGGGAAGUUGAGGAGGAAGUAUUGAAGAAGGAGGUUAAUGAAGAAAAAUCGCCGAUUGAAUUGAAAUUGUUACCUUCUACUUUGAAGUAUGUAUUCCUAGAUGAGACCGAAGCAAAGUCGGUUAUCAUAAGCAAUCUUUUGACAAAGAAUGAAGAAGCCCGUUUGAUCAAUGUGUUGAAAAAAAAUCAAGAAGCCAUGGGUUGGACUCUUUCCGAUCUCAAAGGAAUUAGUCCUUCCUAUUGCAUGCACAAGAUCUUAAUGGAAGAGGAUUUUAAGCUGGUAGCUCAACCACAACGCCGCUUAAAUCCUACUAUGAAGGAAGUUGUUAGAAAGGGAGUUGUUAAGUUGUUGGAUGCGGGAAUGAUCUACCCGAUUUCGGAUAGCCAAUGGGUUAGUCCUGUGCAUGUGGUUCCGAAGAAAGGUGGCAUUAUCGUGAUUCGAAAUGAAAAAGAUGAGUUGAUCCCGACAAAAGUGGCAACGGGGUGGCGAAUGUGCAUUGAUUAUAGGCGGUUGAAUACCGCAACUCGAAAAGAUCACUUUCCACUCCCGUUCAUGGAUCAAAUGCUAGAAAGACUUUCGGGGCAACAAUACUAUUGUUUCUUAGAUGGCUAUUCCGGGUAUAACCAAAUUGCGGUUGACCCGACCGAUCUUGAAAAGACGGCUUUCACAUGUCCUUUUGGAAUUUUCGCAUACCGUAAAAUGCCAUUUGGGUUGUGCAAUGCACCGACGACUUUCCAAAGAUGUGUGCAAGCUAUUUUUGCCGACCUUAUCGAGAAAACAAUGGAAGUCUUUAUGGAUGACUUCUCAGUAUUUGGUGGUUCCUUUAGUCUAUGCUUGGCAAACUUGGAAACGGUUCUUGAAAGAUGUGUGAAGACCAAUCUUGUUCUUAAUUGGGAGAAGUGCCACUUCAUGGUGACCGAGGGGAUAAUGCUUGGCCAUAAAGUCUCUUCAAGAGGGCUUGAAGUUGAUCGUGCUAGGGUUGAAGUGAUUGAAAAGUUAUUUCCUCCGGGGAAUGUGAAGGGAAUCCUAAGCUUUCUAGGGCAUGCCGGUUUCUAUCGGCGCUUUAUCAAAGACUUCUCAAAGGUAGCUAAGCCUUUGAGUAACUUGCUAGCUAAGGAUCAGGUAUUUCUUUUAACCGAUGAAUGUUUGCAAGCUUUUGAGAUUUUAAAAGAAAAAUUGGUUAUCGCUCCAAUUAUAGUCGCUCCAAAUUAGAAUCUAAAUUUUGAGCUCAUGUGUGAUGCGAGCGACUAUGAAAUCGGAGCGGUAUUAGGCCAAAGAAAAAAGAAAAAUUUUCAUGCGAUACAUUACGCAGGUAAAUUUCUUAAUGAGGCUCAAAUUAACUAUGCCACCACUGAAAAAGAAUUACUGGCCAUAGUGUAUGCACUUGAAAAGUUUAGGUCUUAUCUUAUAGGGUCCAAAGUCGUAGUGUGUACCGACCACUCGGCGAUUAAAUAUUUGCUCACCAAACCGAACUCGAAGCAAAGGCUGAUCCGUUGGAUCCUCUUGUUGCAAGAAUUUGACGUUGAAAUCAAAGACAAGAAAGGAUCGGAAAAUUUGGUGGCGGAUCAUUUAUCUCGCUUAGUUAAUAUGGAGGUUACCGCUUCAGAGAAGGAAAUCCGGGAAGAGUUUCCUGAUGAAAAACUUUUCAAAAAAACUUUUCAAAAUUCAAGUUAGGCCGUGGUUUGCAGACUUUGCGAACCACAAGGCUAGUGGUUUUGUGCCUCCCGACCUAACUUCGAACCAAAAAAGGAAGUUUCUUUCGGAUGCCAAGUACUAUGUAUGGGAUGACCCAUACUUGUUUAAGUUGGGUAGUGAUAACCUUUUAAGGAGAUGCGUUACUGGCGAUGAAGCGCAGAGCAUCCUUUGGGAUUGUCACAACUCGCCUUACGGCGGACACUAUAAUGGGGUAAGAACGGCCACUAAAGUCCUUCAGUCAGGAUUUUAUUGGCCCACUAUUUUCAAAGACGCACAUGCUCAUGCGCAAAGUUGUGAUAGUUGCCAGAGAAGUGGUGGGAUUGGUAAGAGAGACGAGAUGCCUCUCGAAAACAUCCAAGAGGUUGAAGUAUUUGAUUGUUAGGGCAUCGAUUUUGUAGGACUAUUCCCACCUUCUUAUGGUAACGAGUAUAUGCUUGUCGUAGUUGAUUACGUUUCUAAGUGGGUUGAGGCGAUUGCCUCACCUCGGGCGGAUGCGAAAACGGUAAUAAUUUUUUUGAAGAAAAACAUAUUUUCCCGUUUCGGAACCCCCCGAGUGUUGAUUAGUGACGGAGGGUCACACUUUUGUAAUGCACCGUUNNNNNNNNNNNNNNNNNNNNNNNNNNNNNNNNNNNNNNNNNNNNNNNNNNNNNNNNNNNNNNNNNNNNNNNNNNNNNNNNNNNNNNNNNNNNNNNNNNNNNNNNNNNNNNNNNNNNNNNNNNNNNNNNNNNNNNNNNNNNNNNNNNNNNNNNNNNNNNNNNNNNNNNNNNNNNNNNNNNNNNNNNNNNNNNNNNNNNNNNNNNNNNNNNNNNNNNNNNNNNNNNNNNNNNNNNNNNNNNNNNNNNNNNNNNNNNNNNNNNNNNNNNNNNNNNNNNNNNNNNNNNNNNNNNNNNNNNNNNNNNNNNNNNNNNNNNNNNNNNNNNNNNNNNNNNNNNNNNNNNNNNNNNNNNNNNNNNNNNNNNNNNNNNNNNNNNNNNNNNNNNNNNNNNNNNNNNNNNNNNNNNNNNNNNNNNNNNNNNNNNNNNNNNNNNNNNNNNNNNNNNNNNNNNNNNNNNNNNNNNNNNNNNNNNNNNNNNNNNNNNNNNNNNNNNNNNNNNNNNNNNNNNNNNNNNNNNNNNNNNNNNNNNNNNNNNNNNNNNNNNNNNNNNNNNNNNNNNNNNNNNNNNNNNNNNNNNNNNNNNNNNNNNNNNNNNNNNNNNNNNNNNNNNNNNNNNNNNNNNNNNNNNNNNNNNNNNNNNNNNNNNNNNNNNNNNNNNNNNNNNNNNNNNNNNNNNNNNNNNNNNNNNNNNNNNNNNNNNNNNNNNNNNNNNNNNNNNNNNNNNNNNNNNNNNNNNNNNNNNNNNNNNNNNNNNNNNNNNNNNNNNNNNNNNNNNNNNNNNNNNNNNNNNNNNNNNNNNNNNNNNNNNNNNNNNNNNNNNNNNNNNNNNNNNNNNNNNNNNNNNNNNNNNNNNNNNNNNNNNNNNNNNNNNNNNNNNNNNNNNNNNNNNNNNNNNNNNNNNNNNNNNNNNNNNNNNNNNNNNNNNNNNNNNNNNNNNNNNNNNNNNNNNNNNNNNNNNNNNNNNNNNNNNNUCUAAUCGUGAGAUUAAGAGAAUUCUCGAAAAAACUGUGUCAAAUUCGAAAAAAGAGUGGUCACAAAAAUUGGAUGAAGCGUUAUGGGCAUACCGUACCGCCUUUAAAGCUCCAAUUGGCCUAACUCCUUUUCAAUUGGUGUUUGGUAAAACUUGCCAUUUGCCGGUCGAAUUGGAGCACAAAGCCUUGUGGGCUCUGAAAUUUUUAAAUUUUGAAAAGGAUUUGGCCGGUGAGAAAAGGAAAGUGCAACUGCUCGAGUUGGAAGAGAUGUGCAAUGCCGCAUAUCACUCGAGUUGGUUGUAUAAAGAAAAGGUAAAAAAAUAUCAUGACAAAAAGCUUCGAAAGAAAGAAUUUGUGCCCGGACAGUUGGUCCUAUUGUUCAAUUCCAGGUUGAAGCUAUUCCCUGGAAAAUUGAAAUCAAAAUGGUCCGGGCCAUUUCGGGUCAAAGAAGUCAAGGAAUAUGGAGCUAUUGUCAUUGAGGACAUGGACAAGAAGGAGAGUUGGAAGGUGAAUGGCCAAAGUUUGAAGGUUUAUCUCAGCGGUCAUGUGGAUCGCGAGAGCUGUGCUAUUUCCUUGGAUGCUCCUCUGUGAGCAUCGAACCGUCGAGCUCAUCCGACGUUAAACAAGCGCUUGUUGGGAGGCACCCCAACAUUGUAAGUAUUUAAAAGCUUUCUGUUGUGUGGUAUUGGGAUUCCAAUUGAUAAACCUUGCUGAAUGUGAUUUACCUGCUGUUAUGAAAAAAAACAAAUUGUUGUCAUGCUCGCUAGCUGCUCGCUAGGCGAAGGCAGUAGCGAGAUGAAUCGCUAUCUGCUCGCUAGGCGAAGCAGUAGCGAGCGCUGCGUGGCAGCACUUUAUUUCUGUUUCACAGGGCCACUCAUUUGGGCCCAAACACUUGUUAUUUCGUUUUUUUUAGUCUGAUAAAAGUAUCAAGCUUAUUCUCACUAGCACUCACAAACGCUCUCACAUUCAUUCUCACACAAACCCUAACAUUGCAUCCCUAACCUCCUGUGCAUUUCAAAUUCAACAGAUCUCAAAUCAGGUUUUCCCUUUCUUCAUUACUUUAUGUUUCCAAUUUGCUUGAAAUUUCUGAAUAUGUGACAUUUAGGGUGAAUUUGGUAUUGUGGGUAUCAUUAGGUUUUGCAUGUGGGUUUAGAAUUGCAUGUAUCUUAGAACGAUUCUUUGCAUGAUAAAUCAUUUUGUUUCUGAAAGGGAUACCAUGAGACUUAGGUUUUCUUGGAAUUUGGUUGUUAAACAUUUCAGAACCCAAAACCCGUAAGAUUCGCUAGCAUCUCGCUAGACGAAUCAGUGGCGAGCAUUCGCUGCCACUUCGCUAGGCGAACCUGUAGCGAAGCUUCGCUAGGUCAUCGCUAGGCGAAGCAGCAGCGACCAUGACAGUAGUUGGAAUUCUGUUUUGCUUUCUAAUCUGUUUUGUGUUUGUGUUGUUUCCUCUCUAUGUCUUUGCAAAUGGCAUCCAAGUCCAGCAUUUCGAAAAAAAGAAAGGUCGGGAGCACUUCCCGUACCGUGCCCAUACAGUUCGACACCGACAAAUUUGUCGGGGCAAAGCAAGCGGCUAGAUAUGUGGCUUUGGAAAAGUGAAAUUUUUUGCCAGAAAAGAGAUUUAUAAUCAACCCCGAAGGCACCUACCGUACAUUUGUCGGGUUGAUACAUAGCAAAAAGUGGGACCGGUUGAUAUCUCCCCUUGAGCAUUAUGACAUCGAAACAGUGCGUGAGUUCUACGCGAACGCACUGCCUAACGAUAAUGAGCCAUUCACAUGGACGACUAGAGUCUCCGGCCGUACUGUUGCUUUCGAUCGGGACACAAUUAACCGUGUCUUGGGUGAACCGCUCCAUCUGGGGGCAAAUGAGAGAGACACAUACCAUAGGGAUUUGAGGCUUCACCGGGAUACCGAUUCAAUUUCUGCUGCCCUGCUUUUUGAAGGGAAACCAGUUGAGCUGAACCCAUCUGGGGUUCCGAUGAGAUACCAUAGGGAGGACAUGAUUCCCUUGGCUCAAUUGAUCCUUAUGUUGGUUCUGACAAAUAUAAAACCCAAGUCUCACACCUUAACCGUGCCGAUCCCAGUGGCACACUUGGUUCACUGCAUUCUCACGAAUAUCCAAAUUGAUGUGGUGAGGAUAAUUGCUUUGGAGUUGAAGUCCGUGAUUGAGAGCGGGCUAAAGUUGGGGGCACGAGUAGAUUGUCCCCUUGCUUUCCCGUGUCUCAUCAUGGCUUUGUGCCAACAAGCGAGGGUGAAGCUACCCUCCAGGAGUCAAAUAACGAUCCCGCCAGCCAUCGAUGACAGAUACGUGGCCAAGUACUGCAAACCGAAGAACUUAAGAAGUAGUUCAGCUGCUGAGGUUACUGGGGCUUCUGAUGGUCCUGGUACUUUUGCUCAGGGAUCCGAUCCUUUCCAACAGGCUGUCUUCAACUAUAAUUGGGAUUGGAUGGCGGCAACUCAGCGCGCCAUGCUCGAUAUGCACGAUUUUAUGCAGUUGUUGCAGUUGCAGGUGCGUGACCCCUCCGGUGAGCAUUCAAUGAUGACACGUGAGCAGUUUCUGCAGCACGCUAGCUGGCCUGUGGACAUGCCUGUGUUCGGAGAGGGGGCGGGUGCUGGUGCAUCUGGUGUUGGUGCUUCUGGUGGUGCUGAGGAUGAAGGUGAUGAUGAUGAUGAUGAUAGUGAUGAUGCUACCGGUUCUGAGGCCGGUAAUGAUAAGGGUUCUGAGUCCUUUGGGGGCUAAGUUUGUUUUAUUUUUAUUGUAUUUUCAGAUUUGUAGUAUUUCGAUUUUUGUUAUGUACUUUUGGGGUGUUUUGUCCCCCACGCACAUUAUUUUUAAAAUUUUGAAGUAAUGUUAUAAUUUAUGUUUUAAAAUUUCUUUUGUUUGUUUGGUUUAAAUUUCUUUUGUUUUAAUAAAUUUUUGGUUGGUUGAGUGUCAAACCUUCUAGAUUGGUUGCUCCUCAAAGAAGUAUCCAAUGAAGGUGCAUCCGAGCUUGGAUGGCAAAUGAUAAAAAUAAACCAAGUGAAUAUGCUAAGGUACUGUUACCUCCACAGAUUUUAGAAUGCAUUAAGAACUUUACUCUUUUUUUGUAAUUGAAUAUUGUCUUUUUGCAACAUAUUGAAUGAAUGUUUCAUCUAGGGACUUUAAAACCACAAAAUGGUGAGGAAACCUCUAUUGUACACUUAAAUGUUGGAUUCUAAUAAGCUUGUUGAUUCAUUUGAUUCAUGCUUUGUCUUUUAAUUGUGAUAUGUGGAAGCAAUUAAGAAAUGAUCAAGGCCGCUUUUUCUAUCGAGCACAACCAAUUCCAAAUACAACUUAUCCGGGAGCAGAGAGAGUAUUCAUUAACCCUUUGAGCUUAACAGUUGAAUCUCAGCUUGAAAAUAAAGCGAGAUGUCAAAAAUCUUUUUUCUUGAAACCCGGAAAAUUUUGAUAAUUAUUCUUUUGCCGUAAAAAGUCAAGAGCAUUCACUUAGGGUGAGUAAGAAAUAAGUUGGGGAGAACGAAAAAGAGAAUCGGUAAGUGCCACAACUCUUGAAAAACCAAGCAAGCACUGAAAAUAAAAAAAAAAAUUAGAAAAGAGAAACAUUUGUUUUGUAAAUAUGAUGUGAAAGAAAAGAAAAAAUAGAGAAAAUGAAAAUGAAUGCUUGCUGGGAAGAAAAAUAGUGAAAAACAAAAAUUGAGUUGUGAAAUAAGAGUUAUGAAGGUUUCAAAUGAGAAACAAAAGGGAACGAAGUUGAGAUGUGUGAAUAGUGUACAGUGAAUGUCUCUUUUGCAUCGGAAAUUUCGUUUUCAAUGGCCUUAGAAAUGACCCUUGUUUGUAAACCUAACCAAGCUACAACCGGAAAGUCCUUAGUGAUCUUCGUGCUUCCGCAUUUUCAUUUAUAAUUGUUAGACAUUGUAUGAAUUGAAUUGAUUUCUUCAUUGUUUGUUGGAGAGAGAGAGAUUGUCCCCGCGGUUGCAAACGCGUAAUUUCUUCAAUCCUUAUUCGAAGAGGAGAGAUAGGGUGAUUCAUUAAUUGAUUUCUUCAUUGUUUGUUGGAGAGAGAGAGAUUGUCCCCGCGGUUGCAAACGCGUAAUUUCUUCAAUCCUUAUUCGAAGAGGAGAGAUAGGGUGAUUCAUUCAAGAUAAUAUUGUUGUGGAUAAAUACAUAUUUUGCAUUUCUAUUAAGUUUUAGUUUUUGUGUAUUAUGUUAUUCUAACCAUUGGGAAUUUGUAUCUGGUUUAUUCGCUUGUGUUUGAGCCGUUUUAUCCGACUUCGGAGAAACCUUUUUCUUUAAGCAAAUCAUCUUGUCCUUCAAGAGGCAUACUUUGCUUGAGGACAAGCAAGAAUCUAGUUGGGAGAGUUGUUAGAUGCCAAAAAGUGCUUAUUUGAGCUAUCAAAUGUGGGCAUCUUUCACUCCUUUUUGUUGCUAAAGUGUUUGAAACUGCCUUUGUUUUAGAUGAAUUGCAAUACAAUGUUAAACGAUAUUGGUACCUUUAAUUUAUGCGUUAUUGUGCAGGAAUUAGGCAUGAAAUAAUAGAAAAUGAAGGCACAAGAAAGUUGGCAAAGGGACUAAGAAAAUAAUGCAUUCAUCAGCAUGCUCGCUAGGCGAGUGCUGUGGCGAAGUGUUCGCUAGGCGAGCACCCAGCGAGCUGCUAGCGAGCAUUCCCAGAAUUUUAGAGUAGCAAAGUCAGCAAACUCGCUAGGCGAGCAUCCAGCGAAGGUGGUAGCGAACACGCCCAGACUUGGUCAAAAGCACAGUCAGCACUAAAUCGCUAGGCGAGCACCUAGCGAGCUCCCAACGAGCAAUUCCAGUAGCAAAACCAUCUAAGCUCGCUGGAGCGAAGGUGGAAGCGUGGGCUUCGCCUAGCGAACACAUGAAAUAUGGCGAAGGAUAUUUCUCUGGGCGCAGGUGCCUCUGGUGCCUACUUUGGGGCUCGCUAGGCGAACCAUUCUGCUCGCCUAGCGAGCAUGACAGCUCAGACAGCAGUACUAUAAGUAGCAGGGGCUACUUUUUGGAAGCCAUACUUUGUACUUUUUAAACUUAGCAUUUCUUAGAUAUUUUCCAGCAUUGCUCUAGAGAUAUUUUGAAACCUAGAAACACAUUUUCUUCAUUUUUCUUCAUCUCUUAACAAUAUUCCACAAAAAGAAGGUGGAUUCCCAUCCAAUCUCGAUUCUUCGACUUGGAUGUUGAUCAACCUUCAACCGAGACUUGUUGUACAAGCCCAUGAAAAUGAGUGGCUAAGUUCUUCAUUUGUCAAGGUUAGAUGAGUGAUCAUAAGCUUUGUGUAUAUGAGAUGAUCUUCAUUUGUAAACAUCUUUAAUGAUGAAUAUAUGGUGGAAAGUUUGUUUUAUCGAUAACUCUUUGUGUUGGUUUAUGAUCGAGAGAUGUUUACCAACUCUUUACCUAGGUUUUCAUCCAAUCUUUUUGUUAGCUUAGAGAUAGUAAUGAAUGAUUUUGUUCACAUAAGGUUGAACCAAAAGUUGUCAUUUUUGAUAGAUUGUGUUAGAAUAAACAAUGGAUCAAAAUGGGAAACUCACAAUGUGUGUUAGAGAUAAACACAUUGGAGGACUUUGUAAUAGUUUAUCAUCUAAAGAGUUAUGAGUCUUGUUGAUCGAACGUAUAAUGCAAAUGAUCGUCGACUUAACUUGACAAUCUUUCUAAAUAGAAAACCAAAACUUUUACCGCAUUUUCUUACACUUUUAUGCAAGCUACCGUGACUAAAACCAAAACCCCCUUGUUACUACGAGUUAAGAAUUAAAACAACUGUCGAACGGCGGCGAUAUCUCACAAUCCCUUUGCUCACUUGAGCUCAUGUUUAUGUUAAUGCAAUUUGCCUUUUGCUCACUUGAGCACAUAAUUGUGUAUAUACUAUUGUGCUUGUUUUGUUUUGAUUGUGUGAACAAAAUGAAAAUGGACAAAAGGACUUAGACUUUAGGAUAUUCCCUAUGCAAAAUGGAGUCAAAGAGCAACUAGGCCUCAUGCCUUUAGAAUGCUAUAAAAGAAUAAAAAUGUCAAAGAGCAACUAGGCCUCAUGCCUUUACAAUGCUUAAUCUGGAAGAGGACUUUGAAAGGACCAAAUUCUAAACUCACUCUUGUCCAUUCUUUCUAUUGCAUUGUGGAACUUUUUGAUUUGUGUGUUCUUGUGCAAGGGAUCCCAAACAUUGAGCCAAGUAGAAGAACCAUUGUCAUGAGCAUAUAAAGUGAGAGAUACAAAAGCCAUUGGAAGAUUCCUAGGAGCUUGCUUGCUUGAUUGUUUGCUUGAGUUAUUUGCUUAUUGCUUGCUAUUCCAAAGGAAAGGGAACAACUUGGAUCAUCGCUAUGAUCUCAAGAAGGGAACUCCAUUGUGGUUUAUUUUCUCCUCUUUCAUCUUUGCAUGUUUAGGACCUUAGCCAUUAUUCUUCUUCUCUCCACUCUAACCCAAGCCAAACUUUUGUGCAAAUAUUAACAUUGUUUUCAACAUUAGAAUCCUAAGCAUUAUGCUUUUGAUUUUCCAAACUUCUUUUCAUAACACUUAUUUUGAAUUGAAUUCUAGGUCAACAUUGACCUUACAUUGUAAAUACUUUUCAUUGGUAAAUACAAUUCACUUAAAUGUUUUUGUGGUUUCAGUGGCCACUCCUUGCCAAAGCUUUUCAUAAACAUUAGCUAUUAGGUUUGAGUUAUCCUUGAGGUUGAUAUAAUACUCACCUAUAUCCUUAGUGAUGGACCAUAAGACUUCCAUGCUUAUUAUAGGGUUAAGGUUGAUAUAAUACUCACCUAUAUCCUUAGUGAUGGACCAUAAGACUUCCAUGCUUAUUAUAGGGUUAACCCCUCACUAGCAUGUUGAAGCUCUCCUCACAUGGUGGAUUUGUGGUUUUAGGUUGACUUUUCUCCCUUUGAUAACAAAAGACCUUAAGGUUUUUCACCAAUUAAUUCACCAACUUCUUUUGAGAUUUUUACCCCGAACUAUGAGGUUUUGAUCCUAAUCUUUUUAAAGAUGGUACGUAGGCAAUGGGUUUAUCCAUUCAAACACAAAAUUGUAAAUAAUUUGUACAUUCUUCUCUCAUCUCCCCAAUCAUGUUUGCACAAAUAAUUUUCACAAAUACCAACCUACCUUACCACAAUUGUGAAAAGGGCUCCCUAGGAGUACCUAGGAUGUUUUGGGUGCUUAAAACCUUCCCAUUGCAUAACCAACCCCCUUACCCAGAUCUCUGACAUUUUUAUUAGUUUUUGAUUUGGUAAAACUUCUCGAUUUUUGUUCGCUUUCUAACCUUUCCUUUGGAUAAAUAGAAGUGCGGUGGCAACUCGAAUUGUAUGAUUUACUUUUGAUUUAGUUAAUAAAUCUAAAGGUAAUGAAUACCCCGCUACACCUUCAAAUCACCAAAUUAAUGGCCAAGGGAUUUAUCCUAGGUCAAACAAGGUCAAAUGACCUUAGACAAAAAAUUUAGAAUUUUUGGAAAGUCAUAAGUAUUUUAAAAUAUUUAAAAACAUGUCCAAAAUCAUUUAAUUCACAAAAAAUAUCAAAACUAAUCCUAAAAAUGAUUUUAAUUCAAAAUAUAGAAGAGGAAAAUAUUUAAAGAUUUUUGGUGAAAGUCCCAUACUUUUUGGAUUAAAAGUGAAUUUAUAAUGAAUUAAACAAAAUAAAAGGAUUAAACAUAAAAUCAGAAAUAAAAAUAAAACUAAGAAAAAACAAGGACCAUCAGAUCUGCCUCAUUAAUUGAGGUGGCAGAUCAGAUGGCCACGCGUGUGGAGUCCAUGGUGGACUCUGGUCAACACGCUGUAAAGUGAGUCAUUCAAACCAAGGGCCAAGAUUAUAACAUUUAAACGUGAUCAAAGGGAUGAGAUGAUGCCAACACACCACUGGAGUGAGGGCUCUAGUCAUCUUCUCCGGUGGACCUCACCGAACUGGUCCACCAUCAACCUUCACCAAAAUGAAAAGUGUAUAUGCUAUUUUGAAGAGAAAAUUGUCAGGAAUCCAAAUCUUCCCUCAAAACUCUCCAAUUCUUACUAUAUUGAAAGAUACGUAGAAUUGAAAAUUGAGGAGUAUGAACUGAGUUACUUUGAUUUGACCUCAAAGUAACUCAAUCUUGUUGCCUACAUUGGUAGAUCUCUAAACAACCAAAGAACAAGCAAAAUAGUGGAGAAUUGAGGGAGAAUCGAAGAAGAGAAAAAUCAGAAAAUUCACCUUUGGUUUGCUUUAAUUGAGCUUGAUCUUGCUUCCAAUUUGCUUUGGUUCGUCUCUAACAACUUGCAGGAAGUGAAAUGGAUUAUUAAAAGGCUUGGAUUCUUGGAGUUUCAAUUCCAAAACAGAAUGAGAAUUGAAACUCAAUUUCAAGAGAAAUCCUCAAGUUUAUCUUUUAAUGGAGGUUGAGGAAGAAGCACUGCAAAGCUUGGGCAAGAGGAAUCUCAUUAUGAGCUUAAGGAUCAUGUAUAUAUAGCCUACACAUUGCUUUCCACACCUUUUGAAAAUUUUCCAAAAAUAGCAAUACAAUGGUGCAUGCUUGCAUGGGCGUGUGCUAGGCCCAACGAAUGAUUGAAAUGAGUCCAAAAUCGUGCAUAAGUGAUGCUGAAACCUUAACAUGAGGCUAUGCAAUGUGGAAUGAAAAUUGGUCAUGAAAAUCUUCCAAAUGGGGCCAUGCAAUGCACCCAUAUGCAAGUCACUCAAAAAUGCUCCAAAUGCCAUGAUCUUGGACUCUUUGGAAAGGUAACAUGAAGGGUAGAAACUUUGCUGUUGAAACUCUUUCCAUUUGGAGCUUGGAUCAUGAAAAAGUUUAAGGUGGAAGUUGGAGAAAUCAAACAUAGUUGAAAAAUUUCUAAGUUAAAAGUCAAAUGAUCACUUUUUCCACCUUGAAUAACUUUUGCGAUAAGCUUCAAAUGAAAAUGGUUACUUAUUAAAAGUUUUAGAUAUUUCAUUCCUUUUUAAUUUGAGCACAAAUUUGACACCAUUUGAAUCUUGCAUGAGGGAGUUAUGGAUUUUAGAAGUUGAGGAAAAAUGCUUGUUCAAUGAUGAUGGCCCAAAAUGACCUAUAAUGUUUCAUUUUGGUACAUGCCCUUGCAAAUAGAUUUUGAAAUUUACCGAAGAAUAAAAGUUGGAGAAUACAUCUUGAAAUUAAUCAUGAAACUUGGAUGGUAUUCAUAUCAGAAAAAUUUAGCAAGUUAUGGUUCUCGGAAGUUGACCUUCUAUCUAGGGCACAAACAAAAUGACCUAUAAUAUUUCACCAUAAAAAUGACUUUCCAAGCAAACUUAGCUCUUGAUGCCAACAUGAAAUUUGUUUGGAAUGUCAUAAAGAGUAACGUUUCUCUUGGAAUAAUUUUCAUAUGACAAAACUUGAAGGAUACAGGGUCUAGGGAAGCCUAGAUUUGACCAGUUGACUUUCUCUAGUCAACCUCUUUGAACCAUCUUGCAAACUUGAAGUUCUUUUUAUCUUUGGGUCUCAUGGAGAAUCAUAUAUGCUUGAGAUGAUGUACAAUGAAGUAUACUUUGAAAUCUUUGACCAAUUGAUGAAGAAACUGGCUGAGGAAGUCAUACAAGAUACCUAGAUGAAUUAGGGCUUCCAAGGAAAACAAACUUCAAACCUUUGAUGAAUUCUUGAUCAAAUUGACAAAUAAAGUACAUGGGGAUCCAUAUAUGAUGCUUAGAACCAUGGUGAACCUUUCCUUGAUUGAUCUCUUUCAUUGAGGGAGUCAAGCCCUAGAUAUGAGCUUGAUAGGGCACAAAUGGAUGCACACACUACCUACAAAAGAAAUGAAACUAUACUAGACAUAUUUUUGGUAUUUUGGUUAGUAAACAAAAGAAAAUAAAGUAUGAUACAUUAAAAUGUGUUUGGUGAUAUCUCCCAAUGCAAACCCAAUGAAUGAGGGGUAAGGAGGAUACCAAGGUGUGAUCCCAAAGCCAAUGCAAAUGAUGAGAUAGUAUGAGGGAUCUUAAGGUUAAAAUUUGGGUCUUACAGUUACCACUGUCAUCAACAGGACGAAUGUAGCCAUAAACUACCAUAUAUCAUAUAUCCACAUCAUGACCAAGAAAAAUACUUUCUAUUUUAUCAUUCCAAUAGUCAAAAUUUUAUCCAUUAAAGACUGAAGUUUUGGCACGAUAAUGGUCUCUUUCAUUGUUACUAGCGGGUGCAGUUGGUGGAGGAAUUUCUGCCAGAAUGUUUCAAAAGUCUGGAUCUUUAUCUAACACAAUGAAGUGUUGGAUACACAAUCAAUACCAGAACCAGAGCUCUGAUUCUAAUUUAACGUAAUGGAAACACAAGAAAGGGGGUUUGAAUUGGGUUUCAAGAAAUAUAACUUUUGCAACCCAAAGAUGCAAAUAGAAAACUAAGAACAAAAAUAAUGAACUCGAUUAUUUUUAUCAUGGUUUGCUAUUAACAAGGUGAUUUCGCCUUAUCACAAGGACUUAAUCCACUAUAAUCAAACUUGAUUACAACAAAAAGACCAACUGUCAAUGUCUUUCUGAGUAAUUCUGACUAAAUCCUAGUCACUCAAGAAAAUACAAUCACAAAGAUUGAGAUGCAAAAUGUGUUUACAAAAUGCUUCUGAGAAAGAAAAAUACACAAAUGAAUUACAAGUAUAGCACAUAAAAUAUAUAUUCUAUGAUGAGUAUGAACAAAAAUUCAUUGUGUGUAUGUUUCUUUUCUUUUCUCUCAAAAUAUUUCAUAAAACUCAUUAUUCAUGUAUAUGUUAAUCUCUUAGAGUGUAGCACAAUUCAAUUCUUCCAAGUCUUCUUUAUAUAGGCAAGGAAGAGAUCCAUUGGAGGGUAAAAUUGGAAUACUUAAAUGCAAUUGUAUCUUUGCAUAACGGUCUGUGAAAAUGAGAGACAAAAUGAUACAAUAGUCAGUCCUUAGUCCACAAAAUCAUUGUAGUGGAUGAAUAUUUGAUCUUGUACUGUGUACUAUUUUCUCACGUAAAACCUUUUUGAUCUUAUCUUCAAUUUUCAGAGGCUUCUGAUAAAGAGGUAAUGAAGCAUGUAUAGAAGGAAGAAUAAGAGUCUGGUUGAGAGAAUCUUCAGAAACUUUGUCUUCAGAGUCUUGAUCCAGUUCAUCAGAACAUGGUCUUUAGAGUCUGGUGACACAAUUCAUCCGAAUUUUUUAAGCGCACGACUCCAGAGCUUGACAACGUCAAAAUCGGACUUAUGAAAUGAAAGUUAUGACCAAAAUCGUCGGGAUGUGUCAACAAUUCAUUAACCGAACGUAAGAACAAAAACUUCACCAACACAGUAGGCAUAGGAAUAAUAUUCAAUCAAUUCACUUAUCACCAUCACAUUAUAUCUCUUAGAGUCACCUUUCUAAUGCUUUAAACCCCAACCCAAAAUGAUUCACGAGUUGAAAGUUAUAAUCAAAACCGUGCACGAAGGCGUUACUAAAAAGUUGUUAUUUUCUAAAUUUUCCGACAUAAUUUUCAUCUUUUUCAACCCCAAAAACGUCCAUGAAAUAAUCUCCAAAAUUAUUUUAUUCCUGAAACAAAGUUAUAGCCCUCUGUUUCAGAUAUCCAACGCUUCAAACGACACUCGAUUUAGACUUACGGAUCAAAAGUUAUGGCCAAAACGAUUUCGAUCAAAAAACACAAUAAAAUGCUCGUGAUUGUGAGAGACAGAAUGCAUAAUUUUCUGCGUUUUUCAUCGUUGGAGGCCUUCCGGGUCUCCGAUUUCGAUUCCGUAAAAAGCUAAACAUUCAGUAAAUUACAACCCAUGCAAUACUAUAAUUAUCUAAUAAUUUACAGUUUUAACACAAUUAAAUCAUCUAAUCACUGUUUCAAGAUUAUGCCUGAAACCUUCAAAAUUGCAACAAUGGUGAAUAUAAGUUCAAUCAUCAAAAUAGAAAAUUACACACAUAUAAGACACAUGACAUUUAUCAUAUAAUCAUCAUGGCAUCCAAAUUCAAAAUUAUGAAUCAAAACACUCAACCUUAAGGAGGUUAAGGGUUCCUCCAUUCUAUCAUUCUAUCAUACCCUUUACUAUUGGAACAAGUUCUCACCCUUACCUUAGAUUUUCCAACAAGAUGCACACUUCAAGCUCUAACAAUGGAGUUUUCUUUUAGCCAUAUCUCUUCCCUCUUCUCACCACAAAAUUCUAUUUUACGUAAAACCCUCCAAACUCUCUUACUAACCUUUUUAUCAUUAACCUAAUCCCCCUCAAUUAGGAACUUCCACCAUUGCCCUCACUUAUCAUAUUAUUUACCACCAUAUCCCUUUUGACUCUAAUUUUCUUUUAAUAAAAUAAUACUAAUAAUAUUCUUCUUUUUCUCGAUCGUAUUUCUACUCUUUUAUUUUAUUCCAAUCAAUUAAAUAAAAUAGUUAUAGGUUAAUUAUUAAAAAUUCUCAUUAUCCCCAUUAAAUAAGUAAAAUAAUUAAAUUUCAUUAUUUAAUUAAGAUGCUCAUAUUCUAGUUAUUUAAUUAAAUAAAAUAGUUAUAGGUUAAUUAUUAAAAAUUCUCAUUAUCCCCAUUAAAUAAGUAAAAUAAUUAAAUUUCAUUAUUUAAUUAAGAUGCUCAUAUUCUAGUUAUUUUUAUUUAUUUAUUUAAUUAAUUCAAAUAAUACACUAUUUAUUUCAAUCACUAAUUAAAAUUCUAAUUAAUUAUCAACAACUAUACCAAAUUCUUAUUGCCUCCAUACUUCUAUUUCAAGGAUACCUACCCCCACAAUCAUACACAAUUAAUUUAAAACACACAUUAAUCAUAUAAAAAUCUAAAUAAUUCAAAUUAAUUAAUUAAUUAAAUUCGGGGUGUUACAGGUGACACAAUUCAUCAGAAUUUUUUAAGCGCACGACUUCAGAGCUGAACAAUGUCAAAAUCUUCUGAGUCAUAAAGCUUUGGAUAAACUAUGUUCAGAAGCGUUGAGUACAGAAUCCAAAGCUUGUUUAUCUUGUAGAACACACAUCUUAGAGUCAAAGUGCACUAGGUUCAGAAUCUGAUGUUGUCACACAUCAUUCUAUCAAAGUCAAAACUCAUCUAGUAUUUGCACACUAAACAAAACCAUUAAGAUACAAAAUUGUUCUCUAAAAAUCUAUGUAUUGUUAUUACCAAAACAUAAAGUUAGAUGCAGAACCAAAUCUUAUUCUUAUAAAAUUACCAUAAUUUUAUUUUAUUGAAAUUUAUAAUAUAUCCUUCUCUUGACAAUGUGUGGUCCAAAUUUUUUUUUCCAAUAAUUGAAAAAUACUAUUAGUUUUUUAGAUUAUUUUUUUUUUCUUUUUUCUAGACUAAAGAGGAUAUUCAUUACUAAACUAAUAUAUAAGUGUUCACAGGGACCAAGUUACUCAUUCAUCUUCUUUCUCAUAGUCCAUCAUUUGUGAUAUUAGUUCUAACAAUGUUAUCACUAGUACUUCUCCUUGCUAUAGGUGCUUAAUUCUCUCUCCUAAUCUCUCCGCUAAAACACAAAACCACUAAACAUUUUCCACCUGGUCCUAAAGGCCUUCCCAUAAUAGGAAAUCUUCACCAACUAGACCUCCUUAAUAUUAGUGUUCAACUUGCAGACUUUUCAAAAAUAUAUGGUCCUAUAUUUUCACUUAAACUUGGUUCAAGACAAGCUAUUGUAGUUUCUUCAUCUGAAAUUGCCAAAGAAAUUUUUAAAAAAAAUGACCAUACGUUUUCUGACAGACCUCAAUUAUAUAGCCAACAAAAAUUAUCUUAUAACGGAUCAGAAGUUUUAUUUUCACAAUACAAUGAAUCUUGGAGAGAUAUAAGAAAAAUUUGUGUUAUUCAUAUUUUUAGUUCCAUACGUGUAGCAUAUUAUUCUUCCAUAAGAAACUUUGAGGUGAGGAAACUGAUUAAAAAAAUAUCAGAAAAUGCUAAUUCUUCAAGUGUUACAAAUAUGAGUGAGGUAUUGAUAUCUCUUGCAAGUUCUCUAAUAUGUAACAUUGCUUUUGGAAAAACCUUUGAAAAUGAAGGACCUGAGAGUAGUAGUAGGUUUCCUGAAAUGUUGCAUGAGUUUCAAGCUUUGCUAGCAGAAACUUUUGUUGCUGAUUAUAUUCCAUUUACGGGUUGGAUUGAUAAAGCGAGAGGAUUGCAUGGUCGUCUUGAUAAAAUUUACAAGGAGUUUGAUAAGUUUUAUCAAGAGAUUAUUGAUGAACAUUUGGAUCCAAA